rnacentral:lncRNA from 1 species
AGAUUGGUCGUUAACGGUAACGGUUGCUUGAAAGCGAGGGUUGUGGUCAAGGCCUUGUUUGGCUGUUGUGUAUACUGGCAAGUUCCACACUCUCUGGUGGCAUAGCUCCUGCAGCUUCGUUUUGUACAUCUUUUUUGCUUACAAUAUUUUCACUGAUUUUAAUUUUUUUUUUGGAAUGGGAAACUCAAGAGAAGAGAGAAAUGGAAUUUAGUUGCAAAAUUUGAAGUUUAAUUAUCAAAUAUUACGCCAAGAGAGUACGCUUCAGUUCCACGAACAGGUUCAGAAUAAAUGACGCUUGGGAAUGCUGAAAUGGAAUAAGGCCUUUUUAUAAACAAAUAAUAAUAGUAAACCGACGCCACGGUGUUUUAAAAAUAAGUUUUUUUUUUUUUAACCUUGAAAUUCCUUAUCACAGUGACGUUUUAAAAUAAUAUUUUUUUAAAAUGCAAAAAAAAAAUUUCUUUCUACCAUUUAUAAAAAAGAAAACUUAAAUAAUUUACUGUAUUAAACGUUAAAAUAAACUAAUAAAAAAUUAUCGAUAUUCUAAAAACCAAAUAAAUAAUACCUUUCCUUUAUCUUCUUCUCAAGGAAGGUGGCUAAAAACUUUCUUCUCCAAAGAGAUCUUGUUCUAUAAGGAGACAUGACAUGAAAGUUGAAGGAGAGGGUGAUCGAAGGGGGGAAUAAAAAAUCUUUUAUGGUUGGCUCGUGGACAUGGACUUCUUAUGAAAGGUGGUAACGCUGUCUCAACGUCAUAAUUAUACCGAAGCUAAGUCCAUUUCAAUCAAUAUAAAAUAUGAAUGCGGUAACGACUAACGAGAAGUUAAUAGUUUUGGAUCAAACGAAUAUACAACGUCGUUCGUGUGUUUAUCAAAUAAGAAUUCAAUUUAAACAAUGUAAAUGUGUUAACAAGAAAUUGAGAGUUAUUGAUAAGACGAGCAUAAAAUUAAAACGUCAUUCAUAUGUUCAUCAAACAAGAGUCCAUUUAUGUAUAUGUAUUAACAAGGAGUAGGGAGUUUUAGGUAAGACAAGCAUGUUGAGUUGUAAUCGGAAUAGACAGAAAUCAGAAUAGGAAAUGGAGAUCAGAAUAAAUUAUUUAUUUGAACUGUAGGAAUCGAAAUCGGAAUGAAUUGAAUUGUCAUAAAUGUGUUUACUUUGUCUUGGAAUCGGAAUCGAAAUGAAUUAAAUUAUAACAAAUUAUUAAAAAGUACUUAAUAAAUUAUUGUUAUAAUUAUUAUUUUAUAUUUUAAUUAUAGUGAUUAUUUAUUCAAAAAUUAUUAUUAUUAAUUAUUGUCAAUAAUAUAUUGAUAUAUUAAUUAAUUAUAAUUAUUAUUAUAAAUAUAUUAAUUACUAAUAUUAAUAUAUUUAUCUGCUGUACCGUACAUCCNNNNNNNNNNNNNNNNNNNNNNNNNNNNNNNNNNNNNNNNNNNNNNNNNNNNNNNNNNNNNNNNNNNNNNNNNNNNNNNNNNNNNNNNNNNNNNNNNNNNNNNNNNNNNNNNNNNNNNNNNNNNNNNNNNNNNNNNNNNNNNNNNNNNNNNNNNNNNNNNNNNNNNNNNNNNNNNNNNNNNNNNNNNNNNNNNNNNNNNNNNNNNNNNNNNNNNNNNNNNNNNNNNNNNNNNNNNNNNNNNNNNCAUCUGCUGUACGGCCAAGGCGGAUGUACGGUACAGCAGAUUUGACUUUUUAUUUUUUAUAUUUAUAUCUUUUAUUUAAAGAAGGGGCAUUUUAAGAAAUUUUGAAUGUCAACGGAAGCAAAAGAACUCUAGGUAAUGGGAGAUUGAUUCUCACCUCUCCCAAGGAAUCAAUCUCUCAUUCCUCAUUCUCAAAUAGUGGUGGGUUCCAUGAUUUCAAUUCUGAUUCUUACUCCAUUUUUUGGAAGUAAAUGCCGUUAAUCAUUUUGAUUCUCCAAUUUGGAAAAUAAAUGUACCAUAAUAUUUAAUCAAUUAUUAUGAUUAUUGGAUUUUUCAGAUACUUUUAUCUAUUUUGGUUGGAGGGACGAAGUUCACUUUCUAUUAAAAGAAACAUUAGAGGAGCUUUCAAAGUCUAGGCUAAGGUUGUUUCCCAUGGCCUUGAAGCAAUACCCAAAAAGAGCUUUCCGGCUGGCAAAAUAGGCUUGUGUUUCUGCGUCGCAAAAUGAUGUGAAUGAGCUUUCGGAGUGUUUCCUCUGAAAUUUUAGAUGCUGCAAAAUCAACAUUGUCCCGCUCGAAGUAACCCGGACAAUUUCAUUUCCUAAUUUCUUCUUAUUUAUUAUGGCAUUGAUUUUCAUUGCAAGCUCAUUGCUCUGCUAAGAAAAAGAAUAAAUGGGGGCCAAAAAAGGAAGAAAGAAAUAGAGGCAAAGGCAACAACAUUAAUGCACAAACCAGUAAAGGUAUUCCAUCGAUUUACGGCCACUGAUAGCAAGCCGGGGCCUUUAAAAACGGAAAAUACAAGCAAAGAAAAAUAGAAGCCAAUUGCUCAAUAGUGCAUAAUAUGCAUACGGAAAAUUUUCAUCACAUCACGACCCACAGUUAUUCGAAUAGGUAAUAAGACAGGAAUUUUCUUUCUUUGUUUAAAGUGAAAAAAAAAAAAAUCAAUGGCUCAGGAAGUAUCCCUCCAAUCUCCAGAACCACUCACUUGGCACUGGCAAGCUGGGUGCGGAGUAGCUUGGCAGCAGCGACCAUGUUUGAGAGGGCUGGCUUCACCUCAGUGUACUUGCGAGUCUUAAGACCACAGUCAGGGUUAACCCACAAAAUGUUGGUUUCUAGCACAGCAAGCAUCUUGUUGAUUCUGUCAGCAAUUUCUUCAGUUGAUGGUAUUCUUGGAGAGUGGAUGUCAUACACACCAGGGCCAAUUCCAGCACCAUACUUGACUCCCUCACGGAAGACAGACAGGAGCUUCUCAUCAGAACGAGAGUUCUCAAUGGUGAUCACAUCAGCAUCCAUGUCGAUAAUUGAGUGGAUAAUGUCGUUGAAGUUGGAGUAGCACAUGUGGGUGUGGAUCUGUCAAUCAAUAUACAAUAAGAUGAGACACAACAUCAACAGCUAAAUUAGAGAGAUGAGAUUGGAGAUUGAAAGGGCAACUGACCUGGGUAGUGUCCUGGACGCCACAGUUGGUGAUUCUGAAGGAGUGGACUGCCCAGUCCAAGUAGAAAGCAUGCUCAGAUUUCCUAAGAGGCAAUCCUUCCCUCAAGGCAGCCUCAUCAAUUUGAAUAACGUUAAUGCCUGCCUUCUCAAGAUCCUCGACUUCGUCCUUGAUGGCCAAAGCAAUCUGGUAGCAGGUUUCAUGUCUGCAAAAUUGGCAGCGAUUUAUGUUAAACAAUGUUUCCAUUUCAAAAGGUUAACCAAUAGUGAACCAGUUCUCAUUUAUAUACCUGGGCUGGUCAUUUCUAACAAAGGACCAGUUGAGAAUGGUGACAGGGCCAGUAAGCAUUCCUUUCAUUGGGCGAGCUGUCAUGCUCUGAGCCAAGGAGGACCAGAAGACGGUCAUAGCCUUGGGACGGCUCACAUCACCAUAGAUGAUGGGUGGCUUCACACAGCGAGAUCCAUAGGAUUGCACCCACCCAUUGGCAGUGAAGGCGAAACCUGAUAAUUGCUCUCCAAAGUACUCAACCAUGUCGUUCCUCUACAAAAACAAAUGUCCCAAUUCAAUAUGAGAUACAGCAUACUUCGUAUGCAAUUAGAAAUGCAGAAACAAAAAUGUAUAAAAUUUUAUCUAAUUCAAAACCAGGAGACAUUGCUUUGCUUCCAUUGGGCAUUGUGAAACUCACCUCAGGCUCUCCAUGGACAAGGACAUCAAUAUCAAGCUCUUCUUGGAGUUUGACAACCUUGUUGAUUUCCUCCUUGAUGGAAGCAACAUAUUCUUCCUCAGAAAUCCUAAAAAGGACAAAUAGUCACGGCACAGUUAAUACAGUAGUCGAAGUAAUUUCACACAUGGCAUUGAAUGAAGGAAAACCUCAGAUUGACUCACUUCUUAGCCUUGUAUUCACGGCGGACUCUCCUAAGUUCAAUGGUUUGUGGGAAGGAUCCAAUUGUGGUGGUUGGGAGGAUUGGAAGAUUGAGCUUCUUCUGUUGAGCAUCCAAUCUAGCACUAACGUUUGUAGCACGUCUGUGGUCUGAUCCCUUCAAAGCAGCAGCCUAAUUUACCAAGAGGAAGGAAUCACCGUUAGCAAAAAAAGGAAACUCUAAGGGGCAGCCACAUCAUAAAAAUGGAAAACAAAUCAAUCAUGCCACUUACAGCCUUUUGAACUCUCUCAUUGGUCACUCUCGGGGAGGACUUUCUUGAAGCCUGAGCUGCAGCAUUGGCAGAGAAGAAUCCCUGGAAACAAAUGAAAAGGAGAAACAAAGUUAGUCUCAUUCAUAUCAUUUCAAAAGGAAUAUACAUAUGCAAUUAGUGGGCUGAUUGUGAGAGAAAAUGUCCACAAAACUUUAACCAAACACCAAAUGCCCAAGUUGCCAAAUGAUGUUUAAUUCGGAAAAAUAUAUUUAGAAACAUUCAAAUAAAUAAUUUCCCCUUCUAAAUUUUCAUUUUCAACAACAUAUUUUACAAGCCAAGCUCAACUUCAGGCCAAGAUUUUCUGCUCCUAUAAUUAUAUUUUACCAUAAAACUAGGUCCUUGAAAGGCUAAGAUUUUCUGACUCUUGUGACUAGUCAAAGCCUAAGAUUCUUUCAAUUCAUCCGUAGCUAACAUUUUAGACUAAAAGUAUACCUCAUCCUUUUGGCCAGCCAAAGCCUUGGCCAAUGCAUUCACUUCAACAACUUUCUGGGCAGCAAAUGCCAGCCAUGACUUGAUUUCAUCGUCGAGUUUGUUCUCAUUAACAAGAUCAACAGCAGUGUGAAGAAGUGAGCAGGAGGUGGAGACCACAAGCUUGUCUGCAAAGAAAAAUAAUAAAUUAUACAACAAAUCCCAUAAAAGAAUAAGAAAUAUUUAUCACAAAGAAAAAUGCAGGCAAAGGAUGUAUACCUUUGCCAACAACACCCUCAAGCCCCCGGAGAACACUAAGAGAAGCAGCAAGAUCAUUGGCCCAAAUGUUCCUUCCAUCAACCACUCCAGCAAAGAGGUACUUGCCAGCAGGGAAUCCACUCUUGAUCAAUUCAAGGGUCUUCGUUCCACGAACCAAAUCAAAUCCAUAAGCGGUGACACCCUUCAAAGAAGUGAGGGUCUGGAAUGCCUCAGCUGGAACAUCAGCAAAGUAGGUCUCAACAAGAACAUUCAAGCCAGACAGAGUUGACUCUAGCUCGGCAUAAGCCUCACUGAAUGCAUGCAAUUUGUGUGAGUCAAGAUCCAUAACAAGCAAUGGCUCAUCAAACUGAAUCCAGGAAGCACCAGCAGCCUUAAGCUCAGAAAUAACUUCCCUGCAGAAGUGUUAAUUGGUACAACACAGAUUAAUGAUGUCACUCGAUAUAUACACACAGAGUUAUUUAGCACAUACACAUUUAUAAAUCAGUAAUAGGUGAUAAUUUCUUACUUGUAGAUUGGAAGGAUUUUCGGAAGAAGAGAAAGAAGAGAAAAGGUCUUCGCAACACCCUUGGCAGGCUUAGACAGCAACAAGUAUGACACAGGGCCAAUAAGCACUGGGACAGUUUCAACUCCAAGCUGCAGCAUUAGACAAGUGAUCGAUAUUAGCAUCUCACAAACUUGAUCUGAUUGAUAGAAAGUUACAAGCAAGUUCAGAAUUCGUUUAAUGAAAUCUCUAUGAAAAAUCUUCAGGGUCCACAAUGUGUUGAAAGUACCCUUUUCAAGUAAUUUAUCUUAAGACUAUUUUGCAAACAGUAUUGCUUUCCUUACAGAUCAAAUAAAUCAAACAACAUAUGAACACAUUUACUGAACCAAGUCUAAGUUCAAAGCUCUAUAAAUAAAUGUCAAUGAAUCUAUAGUAAAUUCUAUUGCAUCCUAAGCUAAAGAUGAGCAUAUCAUAUAAGAAUUUCAAGGUGAACGUAACCCAAUUUCAAUAUAUUGUAGAUUCAGAUAUCAAACGAAAUAAAAUUUGUAAAUAUAGACAGAACUGAGAAUAAACACUCACCCCCUUAGCCUCCUUGUACUCAGUCACAGCCUUGUGGGAAGCGUAGGAGAACUUAACAUCGGGUCCCAAUUCAGGAACAAUGAAAUGACUGCAUCAACACGAAGCCAAACACGCGUCAGCAUUCAGUACAAAACCAUUACACCAUAAAUAACUUGAAAUGCCGCUCUUCCAAGUAGUGAAUACUUACUAGUUGGUGUCGAACCACUUGGUCAUUUCCAUAGCGGGAACAGAGGCGUUUCCUCUGGCCAUGGAGAAGUAAACAUCAAAUCCAAUCUCGCCGCCGUUCCAGUUAUACCUCGGGGGCACGGCACCGAGCAUUGCGGUGGUGUCGAGCACUUGGUCGUAGUAGGAGAAAGUGUUGCUGGGAAUGUAUUUGAUCCCGGCCUGGGACAUCUGUUUCCAGAUGGAGGAUCUGAGAUCAGCGGACACCUUUUGCAAAUCCUCAGCGCUGCUCUUGCCAUCCCAGAAGGAUUCCAACGCGAACUUGAGCUCCCUCUUGGGGCCCAUGCGUGGGUAUCCAACGAUGUGAGAUGCCAUUUUACUGUCAUAAUCACGUCAUCAAUGAAUCGAAAAUCAGUCACUUUCAUUAAAUCAAGAAAAUAUUCAUUCAAAUGGAUGGGUCAUUGCUAUUACUGCUCAAAUCAAAUGAAAUCAAGAACACUUAUCAGAGCAUAAAAUCUUAAAUUAAUUUUUUUAUAAAAAAAUAAAAAACCAGUUGAAACAAGCUGAUAAUAAUCCAAGAGUUUGAGAUGAUUUUUUUCUUUCUGUAAUCACAUGAACAAUUAUGUACUUUCAGUCAUUUUUGAAGGAUUAAAACAAAAAAUUCUACAAAUAGAUUCUGAAAAGAAGAAUCUAAAAAUAGAUUCAAAAACAGUAACACAAGUAGAGUUCAAAUUGUUUUUCGGAAAAGAUUAAUUACAGAUCUGAUUGAUUCACGUUCAGAUCUAGCAAAAUCACGGCAGCCAAACACUAGAUCUAACACUAACAGUCACUCACCAGUCCAUUAGAAAAUGAAAUCAAGUUCAAAAUUCUUUUAAAGUUAAUUCUUUUUUAGAAAAUGACCAGAUUUUAGUUGAGUAUUAGUGAGUUUUUUACAAAAUAAUUUAUUUUUGUUUUUUAGAUCCAAAAGUUCGGAAAUCAAAACCAUGUUCAAUGCUUAUUCAUGAUUAACGGCGUAAAAACGCUACUGCAGAGAAGACAUAACGAAAAUGGGAACCGUACCAAACAGAGAAAGAAGAGCAGAGAAAUUGAGAGUCGAGAGGAGAGAGAGAAGAGAGCGGCGAGUUUGGGGGAGUGCCCUCUCCGUUAUUUAUAGCCAAAAAUCAAAUCUGGUUUGGUGGUUGCCUUUGGCGUGCCAACCUGUAGAUCUGAGAUUUUUCAUCUUAAUUUCUUUCUCUUAUUUAUUUAUUUAUUUAUUAUGAUUUUCAGUGCAGUUCAUAAAAUAUAGAGCUGACGCGCGCUUUUCUGAUGUGGCGCGUGAAUUGGAAAUGCGGUAGGUCUUUGUGGGCCCCACGGCACGGUCAGGACUGAAGGAAAAAUGUGAGAAGUUAUCAUAAUUUCAACAGUGCCAUAAUUAGCAAUUACACCACCAAAUAUUUCUUGAGUUUUUUUUUUUUGAUUGCUUUAAAUGCAGAGUUGUUAUGAAUUGUGUUAAUUGUAGAGUUGUUAUGAUUAGAUUACAUUAUAAUUCGUCACAAUUAUGAUAGGUAUGUACGUAUAUAAUAAUUUAUGAGUAAUGAUAUAACCACAAACUCUUAUACAAACUUAUUUUGUACAAAUUGAUGUGGCAUGAUAAAAUUAGUUGAAUUAAAUAUUACUUGAUCCACAUGAUUUGUUAUUAUUAUUUUAUAUUUUCAUUCAACCAAUGAAUUAAUGACACGUCAGUUUGUACAAGAUAAGUUUGUACAAGAGUUUAUGGUUGUAUCAUCACUCAUAAUUUAUAUAAGAUCUCGAAUAUUUAAAAAAUUUAUAAAUCAUUAUUUUCAUGUACAUUUACCUGGUAGCAAUGACAAUAACAUAAAAUAAACUCCAAACAAGAAUGGAUUAUAUUAUUUAUGUUAUUUUAUAGCUUUUUAAUUGAUUUUUAAAAGGAUUAAUUGUUAAUCAUUACUCUCCAACCGUAAUCACCAUUAAAUAUUUAUUUAAUUUAAUAGUCGGUAGAUCAUAAAUAAGAUUAGAAUAUUUAAUGGACAAUCUAAUUGCUACUACAAUUGUUAUCAUUUUUUUAAGGUAAGGGAUUAGACAAUACUCAAAUUUAUUUUUUAACCCCUUACUCCCUAAAGAUUCGAAUUUAACUAACUAAUUAAAUAAGACUGCUUAAAAACCACUCAACCACAUCUUUUGGGGACCAAUUAAUAUCGAUGUUUAAACUGAGGUUUAUUAUUAAAUUUUUUAAGUUUCAAGUUUCAACCGCUAACAACAUUAUCAUCGAUUAAUGAUAAAUAUAAUAAUAUUUCAUCAAAAAACCAUUUAACACAUCCAUCCAUAUUAAACAUAAGUAAAAAAUUUAUCAUGCAUUUCAAAUAUAUUUUUCAUCCUAAAAGUUAUGGAGAAAAUCUUGAUAUCAAAACUUACAAUGUAAUUAUGGGAUGUAAUUUUGCAUUUGAGGUCAGCACAACUUAAAAAUUACUAUGAAUGAAAAUUUAUAAUAAGCAGACACCACAAAAAAAAAUUAUUUAUAAGUAUUACAAUCAUGCAGUUUUAUUUAAGUAUUUAACCAAGUCAUUCAAUUUCUAAUUAAGACGGUAUAAAUUAGAUUUGGGCUGCCUAAGACCAAAAGUCAAAAAAAAAAAAAGAAUAUUCCUAAUAAGCAGCCUACCGCGGUCACGCGCCUUAAGAAACGCUUGGACUUAGCACACGAUUUUAAUCCAAAAUGUAUAAAAAAGGAAAAAUUUAUGAGGUGUAUAAUUAUCUUGAGUUGUUAUAUUUUGAAGAAACAAUGAAGAAAGUUGGUGGCCGAAGUUGAUCCGGGGCGAAUGGUGGUGGGCCCACGUUGUUGCAUUAUAAUUGGAGUUAUUGUAAUUUUUCUUAUAAUUAAUAAACUCCAUUUUUCAAAGAAAAUAAAUAAAUAAAUACACUCCCGAUUACGAAAAUAUCAUUUCAUGAGUGUCAAAGUUAGAGCUGGCAAAAUUUGACACGACCCGAUUACCUGACACGAACACGACAUAAAUAAAUAAGUAUGGAUCGUCAAAUUUAACACGAUUAUUAAAUGGGUCGGGUCUGGGUCAACACAAUUUUUUUCCGUGUCGGGUUUGGGUUAAAAUUCUUGACCCAUUUACCCGAUCAAUGACCCGAUUAUAUUUUCUAUUUUAAAAUAAUUUACAUAUUCUUAUAAUUAAAACUCAAAUAUUAGAGAUAUUUUUUUUAUUCUUUAAAAUGGUGAAUAUAAACACAGUGUUUUAUUUAUAAAAUUUUACAUACAUUUAGAGCUUCAAUAGUGUAAAUGUGUAAAAAUUGAUAGACAUGUAUAUUUUAUAAUAUUGAUAUAUAAUAUUAUAUAUAUAUAUAUAUAAUUAAAACCUCAAUAGUGUACAUGUGUAAUAUAUUGGUAGAUAUGUAUAUUUUAUAAUAUCGAUAAAUUAUGUAUGUAUGUAUUUAUGUACAUACGUAUGUAUGUAUUUAUGUAUAUACGUAUGUAUGUAUUUAUGUACAUACGUAUGUAUGAUAGUGUGUAAAUAUUUUAUGUAACUUUUGUUCAAUAUAUAGAUAUUAAACGGGUUAUUGGGUAACCCGAUUGUUUUUCCGUGUCGGGUUUGGGUCUCAAUAUUUUGACACGAUUAUUAAAUGGGUCGGGUUUGGGUCGACCUAAAUUUGACACGACACGACACGAACACGACCCGAUGACCCGUUUUGCCAGCUCUAGUCAAAGUGACCGUCACCUACGCAUCGCGUUUGUUGGGCGGGGUGGGUAAGGUGGGGCGAGGAGUUUGUUUGAUCGUCUGAUUACUUUGAUUUUGAUGAAACGUAUGGACGACGGCGAUGGCUUGCCAGCAAGUGGGUUUAUCAUGAUUUUGAUUGUAUUCGGGGAGAUGCUUAUGUAUAUCCUCAAAACUUCUUGGAAAUGAAAACCGCUGGGGUGGCAAAUCUUGACCAAUAAAGUGUGCGUGAUGUUGCGUUUAUAAAUUUCAAUAAUACUAUUGGCCGAUUGAGAUUAUUUUUAAAAAGUUUAAAAAUAAUUUUUAAAGGUUAAAUGUUAAUUUUAAUAUUGAAUAAAUUUUUAAAAAUUAUUUUUGAUAAAAUCAUUUUAUCCUCCAAUAAAUUUUAAAAAAUAGCGAUACAGUAAUUUUUUAAAAUCUAAUUUUAAUAAUCAAAACUAUUUUUUUAUAUAAUUUUAUAGAUAUCCGCAUAUAUAUAUUAUAAAAAUUCGAAAUCAUUAUUAUUAAUUAGGAAAUAAAAUCAUUAACUUUUAAGAAAUUAUUAUUAUUACCAAUUAUACUGACAUAACAAAAUAAAAAAUUAAUUAAUAUUAUAAAUAUUUAUUUCAGUUAUCAACUAUUAUAUAUACACAAUAAAAAAUAUUUUAUAUACAUAUUUAUAAAUGUAUAAAUAAUUUUUAUUCAAUAUUAUAUCGAAUUAAUCAUUUACAUUCUUGCAACAAGUUAACAAUAAAAUUUACCAAACACAUACGAUUGUUUUUAAAACUCAUAUUAUUUUUUUAAAAAAAAAUUACUAAACCUUUAACUGAUUCUCUUACAACUGAUUAUUUCUACAGUACAAUUAACAACAAUUAUUUUAAAAACUAUAACAUUUUCAAACUAGCCCCAUGACAAUAUUGUUAUUGUUGUUUUUCUUACUCUUAUCAAUAAAACUACGUUGCACAUAAGUGCAUAAAAAUUCACACAAAAUAAACUAUUUAACUUUAGGGUAUUAAUUGAAAAAAAAAAUCAGAUUAAGGUGAAUAAAUAUCAGAAAAUAACAAAUAGAUAAACUCUCACACUCUUUAAAAAAAUUAAUUUUAUAAUUUUAUUUAAAACCAACAGAUAUUACCAAACUUAACGGAUCAAUGUUCCAAUGUUUUCUUUUUAAUUUCAAAACCAACAGAUAUUCUUUGUUCAUUAUAUGACCUCCAAACAAAUAAUUUCAUUAAUAAAAUAAUAAUGAAAAGUAUCGUGGUGAGUACAGAGUAAUUCGGUGGCUAAUAAAAGUCUCUAUUUUUCGUCUCUGUUUUUCAUUUUAACUCUUGGGGUUGGUGCCACUUCGGCCUUGGUCGGAGUGGUGGGCUGCUGCCCUCACAAGUAUUGUGAGGACAGUGGUUCAAGCCCCCACAAAUAUUUUUGUGGGGGCUAACGUACUUAUUUAUUUAAUAUUUCAAAAAUUUCUUCUCCCUCGUGCAAUACGAGUGGAGUAUGGACAUCCCUCCUCUAUAAGGGAUUAUUUGUCUGGGCAUGUACUUCACAGAAUUCAAUGUAAUAAUAUAAGUCUCAAUCAUAUAUUUUUGAUUGUAAAUAUCAAUAUAAUAUAUCUGCUAUAAUAGCAGUUGUAAAUAUCUGUGUAAUGCAAUAAUAUGAUAAUUAAUCAUUAUUCAAAAAAAAAACUCUUGGGGUUGGUAGGCUCGUGAAUGGUCCACGUAACCUCUGGACGUAACACUCAAACAAAGACAGCACAAGGCACAUGAAAAAUGCCUAAAAACCGUAAAACCGUGACGUGUUCAACAUAUUAAUAAAUUUAUACUGUGUUUUCUUUUUUUUUUUAAUACUGUGUUGAUAAAGCACUUACGAUGGAACGACCAAUUCUAUUACUUGCAAAACUAAUUAAUAUUUCACUCUAUCAUCUAACUAAUGGAAGGCCAUCUUAAUUGAGGUUGCAAUAGUUAGAAAGUAGCGGGAAGGGUGGCCAAUGCUCCAUAUUAAUUUGCAUCAAUCCCUUUCUGGUGAAGAAGUACGGGUGAAGUAGAGGUCAAAGUUAGAAGAUGAAGGGUGUGUUUGGGAAUUGAGAGUGAGGUGCUGUAGUUUUUUAGCUGCAGUUGCUGUGAAAUAAAAGUUAUAACUGUGGAAUAGAAGUUGAGAAAAAAAAUUUGUUAAGCUGCCAAAGCCCAGUUACAAAUGUUACCAAACACCUUAGUAGCUAGGCUUUGGCAGCCCAUCUACCCCAUCACACUCCCAAACGGAUUAGAAGGGGACCGGGAUUGCUUUGUCAUAUUUGAAAAUGAUUUUGAAAAAAUAAAAAUUAAGUUCAGAAUUUGGUAAAUUCCUUUAAAAUUUCUUUUAGCAAAAUCACUCUCUCCUUUAGAUUUUGAAAAGUAUGGAAUGAGUAGUUUUUUAAAAUUUAAUUUUGAAAUUCGGAUUCAUAUUUAAUAUAAUACCAUAUAUCAUAACAUGUAUUAUAAAAAUCUAAAAUUAUCCUUAUUCAAUCAAUUAAGAAGUAAAAUCUUACAUUUAAAGAUAUUAUCAUUAUCAAUUAUAUUUAGAUAAUAAAAAAUACAAUUAAUAAAAUAAAAAUAUUUAUUUUAGUUAUCAAUUAUUAUAUAUAUACAUAAAAUGUAAUUAUAUAAACAUAUUUAUAAAUGUAUGUGUAAAUUAAAUUUGUAGAUUUAUGUUUAUAUAGAUCAUUUGCAUUCUUAUCACAUUUUAAAAGUGAGAUUUAUUAAAUAUAUAUAUGAUUAUUUUUAAAAUUUACAGCACUUUUUAAAACAAAAGUAUCAAAAGUUUAAUUGAUUCCUUAUUUUUACUGUACAACUAACAGUAAGAUGUGUUUGGUUCAAGUAUAAAAUGAUGGGAUUGGACAAUUUUAAGAUUAAAUAAUCCUAAUGCAAUGUUUGGUACCAAAAAUAAUUGUGGGAUAAAAAUAGUGGACCCCACCAUUUAAUCCAACACAAUGUCAAAAUUUUAUCACAAAGGGGGGUGUGGGAUAAGCUAAAACUUAAACGUAGGAUAACAAAAAAAAAGCCCAAAAUUUUAUACAACACAGUGAUUUUUUUUUUUUUUUGAGUAUGUCAUCAUCCAAUGAUAGUAUAUAUGCCAGAACACUCUUUUGACGUUAAUGAUAUGUAAUAUUUUCAUAUAUACAGCUAGUGACAUUGUUAUGUAAUUUCUUUUUCAUUUAUAGAUUUAUAUUAUUAUUAUAUUUGUUGAUGAUAUUCUUGUUAUGUUUAUAAUUAUAUUAUUUAGUAAUUUAUAAGUUUAAAAACUAUAACAUGUUAAAUAUAAGAAAAACUUUAAGCGAAGAUUUUGUAUUUUUUAACAAAUUUACCAAUAAUUUUUUAUUUAAGUUAGAUUAUAUUCCAUGUCAUUUUAAAAUAAAUCUAAGAUAAUUUUGAUAAAUUAAUAAAUAAGACAUAUUAUUAGUUACUAACCAAUUUCAUGGCAUACCAAACAUGAGAUAUGAUUAUUUACAGUCUAAUCCAACAUUGCACCAAACGUAAUAGAGUAUUAUAUAUAAUCCAAUGUUAUCAAAUCCAAUCAUAUCUUAUCCAAUCCGAUCCGAUCCAGUCUAAUCCAAUUUGACAUACCAAACAAGCCCUAAUUAUGUUAAAAACUACAUCAUUACCAAACUGACCCUUAAUACAAUCUCAUACAUACAUACAUAUAUAUAUAUAUAUUAAAAAUUAAAAAUUAUCUUUAUUUAGUUAGGAAAUAAAACCAUUAUAUUUAAAUAGAUUAAUAUUAUUACUAAUUAUAUUCAGAUAACAAAAUUAAUAAAAUAAAAAUAUUUGUUUGAUUUAUCAAUUAUUAUACACACAUAUUUAUAAAUGCAUGCGUAAAUAAAAUUUUAUAGAUUUAGGCCAAGGCGGAUGUACGGUACAGCAGUAUCUUUAUUUAGUUAGGAAAUAAAACCAUUAUAUUUAAAUAGAUUAAUAUUAUUACUAAUUAUAUUCAGAUAACAAAAUUAAUAAAAUAAAAAUAUUUGUUUGAUUUAUCAAUUAUUAUACACACAUAUUUAUAAAUGCAUGCGUAAAUAAAAUUUUAUAGAUUUAUGUCUAUUUAAAUCAUUUGCAUUCUUAUAACAUUUUAAAAAAAGAAAAGAAAAGUGAUUUACCAAAUACAUGUAAUUGUUCUUCAAACUUACAACACUUUUAAAAUAGAAUUUAAUAAAUGUUUAAUUAAUUUUUUCACAGCUGAUUAUUUUUAUGGUAUAACUAACAAUAAUCUAUAAACUUAUGGUAAAUAUUUGUGUGAAUGUUGGUCCAUGUAAAGAAGUAAAAACAACGCAUAUAUCAAGCAAUAAGAUAUCAAAACUCUUAGUAAAAUACAUAUACUAAUGAAAGAAUGACAGCAAUGCAAUAAAUAAGAUUAUAAUAUAAAUUAUUAAAAUUGUAUAUUAAAAAUUGAUGUAUGAAAUUCUUUUUAUUUUAGUGAUAGAUAAUGUGAUAUAUUUGAAUAAUUUGAUUAAAUGAAAAGAAAAAUAACAAGUAUGGUUGUGGAGGAAAUAAACCAUUGAACUGUGGAAUGUUAUUAAUUAUUGCUAUUUCAUUAUGUAACGUCCUGAUAAUAAGUACAGUGUUAUAGUAUAUUGAUGGGUGGUGAUAUUGUCACCCCUUAAAUUGUGUAAAGUCAACCUCAUUUACAAAUUUUUUGAUAUAAAUUAAAAAGUACAUUAGUUUUAAUAAAUUAUAUAUUUAUUGAAUAAACUAGAACCGUUAGGGAGCUGUAAUGUUAGCACUGUUUUAACUUAUUAUAAAAAAAAAAGUUAUGAUUUGAUCAUAACUCUAAUUUAGAAAAGAAAAAAGAGUUGAAUUGCUAACAUACUUAAAAAUAAAAUAAAAACAUUAUUAUUAGAUGAAAAAUUGUAAAACUUAAGGGGGCAUUUGCAAGUCCGCCACUACUCAAUAGAGCAUUAUUCAGUACUCGUUAAUAUAUCUCGAACUUUUAGGUUUUUUUAAUAUAUUUUUAAUACAUUUUCUAGAACAUUUAGAUAAAAAGAGUCAGUACUCCAAUUGAGUUGUGAAUAAACAUUUAGAUAAAAAGAGUCAAUACUCCAAUUGAGUUGUGAAUAAACUCAUGUUAAAAAAAAAAAAACUCAUUUUCACACUUGAAACGAUUAGUAAAUGGGUGAUACGAAUUUAACUUGGUCAAUAAUAUAUACCAUCUUAAGUUAACUUCAACUCAUUGAUCUUCUAUAGGGUUGAUCAGCCUGCCACAAGGCCCACAAAUUAUCACCUCUAAUGCUUUUGCAACAGUCGUUAUAAAUGCUGACAAAAUGAAACUUCUAUAUAUUUUGGUUUUUUUUUAUUUCUAUGAAAUAUAAGGCCCUUAUGGCAAAUUUCCAUCCAGCGUGAAAUUUGCUAGUUUGGCCUUGGUACUGUGGCACAUGCGUCAUGCAUGCGUGGCUGAGAUGCUUCUAAAACUAAUAAAUUAUGAAGAAUUCCAAAUUCGUACCAAAAAUAAGAGAAUAGGAGCUUGUCAUAGGUGUCCGCGGAUCGGAUUUUAUGGGUUAAACAUUAAUUCAUAUUUGAUUCGUGAUUUUGUAGAUUAUAAAUUUUUAAUUUAAUUCAAUUUAUGGAUUAGUGAAACUCAAUACAAAUUCAAUCCAUAUAUAUGCAAAUUAGAUGCGGAUUUAACCCAAUGCAUAUUCAAUCCAUCAUUUGGCGGAUUGAUUUGCAAAUUAAAAGUUUUUAAUUUUGUCCAAUCUAAAAAGUAAUUAAAUUAAAAAAAUCUAAUAUAUAAAUAAUUGAUUAAAUAAAAAAAUCUAAUGUAAAAAUAAUUUUACUACCAAUUAAAUUCAAAAUUGAACAAGAUUUAAAUAAAUUUAGAAUAAUACAUUCAAAAUUUUAAAAUAUAACACACCGAAAAAAAAAUUCAUUUAUUUAGAUCAAUACAUGAAAAUUAACUAAAAUUAUGAAUUUAAAUGUUGAAACUUGAAAGCUUGGAUGUAACAGGAAGAAUUUAAGAAACUUGAAGAGCUUGAAAAGAAAGUAAGAAAUUAAGUUUAAUUACCUCAAGUGGUGAAGUGAAACAGUGAUUGGCUUGUGCGUGCGGUGGGAUAGAGAUUUGGUGUUAUAUGUCAAAAUAUUUUGUUUGGCUUGGGGUUUUUGUUUUGCUUUAGAAAUUUUAAUGUUUAGGAAACUAUAUUUGCUUAUUUAAUUAUUUCUUAUUUUAUAUUGUUAUCGAAUAAAAUAUAAUAUUUUGUUAAUUUAGCUAUAAUUUUAUGCUGAAUAUAUUUAUUUAAAACGAUUUUAUUAAAUAAAUGUGCAUAUUUAACGAAGGUCUCUGAAAUUUCAACCUGCCUGCUAAUGAUAGCCAAUACGGCACGACCCACCAAAUGUCGGCCCACGCGGGCUUGUGGGCCAUGACGACUUUUUUUGUAAGGGCCCGGCACGGCCCACGGCACGAGUCCGUGCCCAAAAAAAGCCCACCUACCUUUUUUUUUUUUGUCCACAUGUUCAGCGUGCCUAAAAAAACCCACGUGCCUGACGUGCUUUUUUAAGCCCACCAGCCUAAUAGUAACAACAACAACAACAAUAAUAAUAAUUUCAUAGAAAUAAUUAAUGAAAAAUAAAAUAACAAUUCUAGAAUAACAAUUACAUCUAAUUUUAUUUGAACAACUAAUAUUAUAAUUGCACAUAAACUCUAUUGAAUGAAAAUGUAAUUUUUAAUUUAUUAUAAAAAUAUUUUGUUCAUAAUUUUAUUUUUUUGUGCGUAAAUAUGAAAAAUAUUUCAUUCACAAAUGAAACAUAUCUCCAUUAACUAUUAACUAAGUUAUGAUUUCAUAAAUGAAAUAUUAAUGUCGUAAAAUUUUUUAUUUAUCAUUUAUAAAAUCAUGAUAUUUAUUUAUCCAUUUAAUAAAUUAUAAACAUAAAAAAAUUAGAAUACUUAUUUAAACUAGGACUUAAAUUAAUUUUAAAAAGCCUAUACUAAAAAAAUAUAUUAAAAUUUUUAAUUUCAAGGUAUUUAUAAAAUCAUGAUAUUUUAUAUUUAUUUUUCAUUAAAAAAUUUUAUUUUGAUAUACUUUGGCCCACGUGCUAUUGGUGGCCCACGGGCCGCGUGCUUAGCCCACCAAUAAAGUGUGCUUAUUACAUGCCUUUUCGCGUGCCGUGUUUUGCCCCAUCUCUAAUCAUACCGUGCUUUUAAGGCCUGCGUGCCUAAAAUUCUAGGCCCGCCAGCCGUGCCGUGCCGUGCCGUGCCUCGUGCCGCCUGGCCCAUUGGCCAUCCCUACUGCCCGCCAACCACAUUUGUCCAAGAUCAAUUUGUAGGAAAAAAAUUUGAAAAUCAAUAAUUUAUUUAAUUAAUUGUUAAUGUAGGCAUUUGAAUCCCCACAAAAUCUGGGUGUCAGUUCUAGACUUCUGGUGAUAUAUUUUUCUAAUUAAGGAAUAAAAUAUUUUUGUCAUUUUUUUAAUAUUUUAAUUUACCAGGCAUAUCAACUAAUUAAUUUUUCUACUUAGACUAUUAAUUCAUUACGUGCGCAAUCUGUAGCCCGGCGCUCCAAUCCCAUGCAUGUUACACACAACUCAAUCAUUAUUUAUUUAUUUAUUUAUUUUGACCAACAACUCAAUGUUUUUUAUAGAGCUGUCAAAAUUUGACACGACCCGAUUACCCGACACGAACACGACAUAAAUAAAUGGGUAUGGGUCGUCAAAUUUAACACGAUUAUUAAAUGGGUCGGGUCCGGGUCAACACGAUUUUUUUCCGUGUCGGGUUUUGGGUUAAAAUUCUUGACCCAUUUACCCGAUCAAUGACCCGAUUAUAUUUUCUAUUUUAAAAUAAUUUACAUAUUCUUAUAAUUAAAACUCAAAUAUUAGAGAUGAUUUUCUUUUUUUUUAUUCUUUAAAAGGGUGAUAUAUUUUAUAAUAUCGAUAAAUUAUGUAUGUAUGUAUUUAUGUACAUACGUAUGUAUGAUAGUGUGGAAAUAUUUUAUGUAACUUUUGUUCAAUAUAUAGAUAUUAAACGGGUUAUUGGGUAACCCGAUUAUUUUUCCGUGUCGGGUUUGGGUCUCAAUAUUUUGACACGAUUAUUAAAUGGGUCGGGUUUGGGUCGACCUAAAUUUGACACGACACGAAACUGACACGACAUGAACACGACCCGAUGACCCGUUUUGCCAGCUCUAGUUUUUUAAUAUGAAAAGGUAUUGGUUAGCUUUGUCUUUAGUUUUUUCAACUUAUAAUAAGUUUGUAUUAAGGCUCCCUUUGGUACAGAUUUUCAAGUAAAACUUAUUUAGGGUUAUUUUUAGGGACCUCCCCUGAGGUUUGGUGUAUUAACAAUCUGAUAGAAAGUAUUCACGUAAUUACAAAGACCUCCCCUGACAUUUGUAUUAUGUUAAGUGGACUGUUAUUGACUAUUGAAAAUCCAAAAAUACCCUUCCUGCCAAAAUAUUUCUUUAUUCACUGAUGAACUGAUGGGUAAUUCGUGCCAAAAUCACAAAUUACUUAAGAAGAUGAAAAUAUCCAUUGGAUAAAAAAAAUGAAAUUGCUUAAUAAAAAAAUUGACAUUGCAUAAUAAUAAAAAAAAUUGAAAUAAUGUGCGGCGGCAUAGCUGCAUCUUGCAUGCAUAUUAUUAUUGUGAUUUUUUUAUUACAAACUCCAUCCUGCAUGCUUAUUAUUAUUGUGAUUUUUUUUAUUACAAACUACUUCAUAACUAAUACAUGCCACAAGAGCAGAGCUAUUAAAAGAAAUGAUUUUCAUAUUGUAAACUUGAUAGUACAGGUGUUGGCACCGACCAUAAAACCCUUAUGAUACCAAUCUUUGCUCCAUCCAUAUUUAAAUCCAGAUCAAGUAAAUAUUAAAUUGGAUUUCAGGUCCUGAAAAUCCCACUCUAUAAUUGAUAUCUUCGAGUUUUGUUGGUGCCUCAAACCUGGAUCUAGAGCAUCAUCUCUGUCAUACUCGGAACACCUAAACUAAUGGACUUGCUGCAGCUGCUUAUUCUUCUUCUGAAAUGAUGCACGCAGAUAGAUUACAGACUUUGAAAUAAGAAAUACAAUAAACAACAUGUAAUCGAACUUAAGAUUUCGGCAAACUUGUUUGAAAAUUAGAAUCAAACAAGGAAAAUGGCAAGUCAAUAUUUUUUAAUCUAGAAAAAGGGCAAUUUCAAAGUUUAUCACAUGCCAAAUUCAUAGUCUUGCAUCCACUAUUUUCUAGUUUGAAUAACAAACAAAAGCCUUAGACAAAAACACAGAGAACAUCUCACAUGGGAGCAAAAAUUGUGUGUAGAACAAUAUACUUAAGUUACAUGUGAUUACAAUCACAUUAUUUAGCAAAUACAAAAUUACCUUCUCAAAAAAAAAAAAAAAAAAAAAAACACCACCAAAUUAUUGAAGGUAUUACAACAAUAAGGCAAAAGAACACCAAAGGCAUGCACAAACCGAAACUAACACACAACUCAAUUAGUGUCAUGACCCCAAACUGAACAAUCAUAUAAACCAUUGUGGGCUCUCUAAAAGAUUAUCACAUUAUAAGCAAACAGAAACCUAUAUUUGAUGAACUACAUCUAGUACUUACACAACUCUUAAAUCAUUAGGAAAUUGCUCUUAUCAGUCAUUACCCAAUAGUUUUUUUCAACUCAACACUAACAACCCCAAAGAGAAACAACAUCCAGCACCAUUUUCAUUAAUUAAAACAGACCCAUUGUUAUUUUUAAUCAAUAAAAUAACAACAAUAUCGUGUAAGCCACUGAUUCAAGCAUUCAAGCUGUGUUUUCGAAGACUGACCUCUUCUUGCUAUCUAAUUCCAGUCACGAUAGACGCUAGAUGCCGGCAAUACUCGCUUCUUGGAAGCUCUGGACCACCGCACGACGUCAUCUUGUGCAGUAGAUGAAAAUAAAUCAAUGAUUUCAGAAAUUAUUUGUGAGUUGCAGACGCUUCUUCUCCAUGGAUGAAAAUGAUGGUGGGUUUUGUUCAAGUGUAAGCUGUGUUUACGAGGAGAAGUACACUUUGUGAAAAAAUCAUUUUCUUUCAUCUACUGGAUAAUGACUUUGGACUGGGUAAUGGUGUGUUUAAGUCUCUAUUUCACGGACAUUGAAGCAUAUUUUGCUUGAAUUUUGAUUUUGUUUAAAUUUCAAGUUUACUUUUACUUGUUUACCCUUUUAUACUGACGCUUAUGUAUUUUUAUACUAACGUUAAGGGAGGUCUUUGUAAUUAUAUGAAUACUUUCUAUCAGACUGUUAAUACAACAAACCUCAGGGGAGGUCCCUAAAAAUAACCCAACUUAUUUAAAUAGAACUUUUACAAAAAAAAAUUUAGUUAUUUGGUUGUCAAUAAACUUUUCAAGUAUACUUUGUUUGGUACAGCUUUUCAAGUAAAACUUAUUUAAGUAGAGCUUUUACAAAAAAAAAAAAAUUAGUUGUUUGGUUGUCAAUAAAAAUUUUUAUUAAAAAAAAUAUGAAAUUACUUUAUUAGUCAAGUUUUUUUAAAGUUAUGCUAUGAAAAGAAUAAAAUAAGAUUGUCAAAUAAAUAGAAAAUAUUUUAAAUAUUUUAACAUUUAAAAAAACUUUUUAACCUUUAUUUUCAAAAAUCUAAAAUUUAAACUUUUACUAGUAAAGGCAAAAUAAUUUAUUUAAACUUCAAAAGCUUUAUUAGAAAAAUAAUCAAACAAUAACAAAAAUUAUUAUAAAAGCUUAUCGAAUUAAAUAAGUACUUAUAGUUAUUAAAGAAGUUAUAUCUAACAGACACUAAUGCCGAAAGCCCCUUCUAAUUGUGGGUGUAAAAGUUUGAAUUAUGCAUACGGUUAAGGAGUUAAGGUGUGUUUGGCAACUGCAUUAAGUGGAAAUUUUUAUUUUGUUUCGAAUAAAAAUACAGCAAGCUCGUGUUCGGCUCAAAAUAAUGGAACGUUUAAUUUGCAACCGUCGGCGGACGAAGCACACCGUUCACGGCCCUUCGUAUAAAAUUGCAUAUGUAAACGUAAAUAGGUCCGGAUUCAGAUUCGUUGCUGUAGAGAGUGGCACGCACGAUCGGGCUGCUGUCGGUGGUAGGUUGGCAUUGGAAUUCUCAUCACGCGCUUCCCCAGGCGCCUACUUAUGGCAAAUUGACACGUGACGCGUGUGGAUUGAAUGGACAGAGUCCCGGGCAGUGUGUCCAAAGCUGCCAACCGUGCUCUGAUUUUUGUCAUCCAUAAUGGCUAACGACUAACGAGGGAGAUUUCCGGGCAGAAAGAAAUUGUUGUCGUUUCUGAAGGGGAAAAAAAAGUUAUUUAAUUUGUUGUUGAAGACAAAAUGAAGAUCUAAAUAAAUAAUGGCUAAUUUUGAGUGUAAAGCAACGGUAAAUGCAUUAUUAAAUUAGAUUUAGGGUCUGAUUGAGAUUAUUUUUAGAUUUAAAAUUAAUUUUGAAAAGUUAAAAUUAAUUUUGAUGUUUAUUAAUUUUUAUUAAAAAUUAUUUUUGUCAAAAUCUCUCAUCCUCCAGCAUAUUAUAAAAAAUAAGGAAGAAAUAAUUUUUUAAAAUUUAAUUUUAAGAAUCAGUUUUAUACUUAAUAUAAUCCACAUAUAUCCUCGUAAAUAUUAUAAAAAUUUAAAAUUAUUCUUAUUUAUUUAGGAUAUAAAAUUAUUAAAUUCAAACAUAUUAUUAUUAUUAUUAUUAUUGUUAUUAUUAUUAUUAUUAUUAUAAAUUCACACACGCACACACAUACUUAUAAAUUUAUAAAUAAACUUUAUUUAACAUUUUGUUCACUUAAAUCAUUUAUAUUCUUAUAGCAGUUUAACAUUAUGAUUUACCAAACACAGAUAAUUAUUUUUAAAAUCCAUAAUAUUUUUUAAAAUAAAUUUUAAUAAAUGUUUAACUUAUUAUUCUGACAACUGAUUUUUUUUGUAAGGUAUAACCAUUAAUAAUAAAUAUUUUAAAAGUUACAGUAUCCCCAAAUUGGCCCUUACUAAUACUCUGCGUUGCCAACUAAAUACUAAUUGUAACAUUAAACAUCUGGAAUAUUUUUCUCUAACGAAACAACACAAUUAAUUUCCCUCUAAAAAAGAAAAAGAAAAAGAAAAAAUAAACUACCAACCCCACCCCUUUAGACAGCAGAGUUUUAGCUGAGGCGGCUUGCUUGCAUAAGCAUUAAGGCUGCUCUUCACCAACCAUUGAACAUUCUUUCCAUUUGAUUGUUACACUUUACUUCGCCAUCUCAUGUCCAUGUACAUUGUUUUGAAAUGAAGACUUUGCGUACAACUAAUCUUUUUCAAUUCAUAAUAAAAACUCUUUUAAUUAGUUAAUAGCUAUAGCUUCCAAUUGAGACUAUAUAUAAAAAUCCAUAUUGACUGACCAAACCAAUAAUUUUUAAUUGGCUUGAGCAUUGUCUUACUUACUUCAAAAUCGUCACUCUCUUUGAAAAGAACAUGAGAGAGUUCACCUCCAUCUCAACCCUUAACCCUAUAUCUCAGUCAAGAGAUUAUUCAUGGAAAAUUCAGAAAAAAGAAAUGUUGCAAUAUUUACGAAACUCACGUCACGUGAGGUAAGAUAAAUUAUUCCUUUCUGCUUUAAUUCAUGUACAUAAUCAUGAGAAUAACUUUAAUUAUAGUUUAUUUCUCCGUUUUAAGAUUUUUCCUUUUUUUUUUUUAAUUAAUUAAUUAUAGUUCAUUCAUUAAUCCCAUAAGAAAUUAACACCUUUGCCGGUAAAGUCACACAUACAACAAUAUUUUAGAACAAAAGGGAAGAUCAUGCACGAUCAUGAUGUUUUAUUAUAUCUCUAGCAAUAUAAUUAUCUUAUAAUUAAUUAAAAACAAAACAGGUAAUUAAGCCAAAGUGGAUGGCAUGCAUCAAUCAUCAUGCAGAACACCUCCCCUUGUUUUAAAUAUAAAUAAAAGAAAUUUGUGCCCAGAAGACUUAAUUAAUACUUCUCGUUUCUGAAGUGCUCACAUGAUAUAUAGUCGGACGCAUUAUAUUUAAUUUCAUGAAUUAAUCGUACGGUUGUAUUUUGAGAGAGAGAGAGAGAGAGAGAGUGACUGAGUAAGAUAUGGCUUAAUUUAACCAAAUCUACGUAUAAAAUUUUAAAAUGAAUUUUUGAGUUUUAACUUAGGAAUUGUCUAUGAAUAAAAGUGUUAAUCAAAUAUUUCGUGUAAAAACAGUCAGCUGUAACAUUUUCGGUUGCUUUAACAAAACUGUAUAUUUCUGUAAUUUCCUAUAUGGGCCAAAAGGAACAUUUUUCUCAGAAAUUAAAAACUUAUGGUGAAAAAGAUAAGAAAACCAACAGGUUCAAAGGUGCGAGUAAACUGGGCUCUGGUGCGCCCAACUCCCUCUUUUGAUUUUGAGACUCUAUUGACCAUUGAGUUUGAGGCCCCAACGGCCCAGUUUAAAACUGUUAUGAAAAGAAAAAAAAUAUAACUAUAAAAUUAAAAUUAAUAAUGUUUGAUAAAUAUAAUUUUUAAAUAAUAAUUUGACAAAAAUAAUAUAGGGUCUUGUGUAUAUUUUUAUUUGGCAUUUCAAUUAAUCUGCUUAUAUAUAUAUAUAUAUAAGUUAAUCUAUAUUUCUUGCAAGAAGAUAGUAUUUCUUUAAUUAAAGUCAUAACUAAUAUAUAAAUUAUCAACUAACCAUCAAACAUUUAUCUCAUUUUAUCUCCACCACGAUCAUCACCAUUCAUCCUGUCACGAUCUUUAUGUAACUACAAUUAUUUUUUCUUUAAUAAUGUCAACCCACCAACCCCAUAACAAUAUCUCCAAACAUCUCAUCUCAAAAUUCCUAAUAACAUAAGUGUUUAUGUAUGAAAGAAAAUGUGAAAUAUAUAAUCAAAAAGUAGUUUAAUAAUAUAAUGUUUAAAAAUUAUGGUAAAAAUAAGUGAGAGUUUGGCAUGGCAAGUUAAUAAAAAGAUAAAAGCUCGGACACUUGAUGCAUCAAAGUAGCAAUGUCUGUCCAUCAUUAUCAUCAUGCGGGUUUAGGUGCUUCUCAUGAUAGCAUUAGCUGGUAAGACCAUCAUGCAUCGUACUUUCAUUGUUAUACAUUUUGAAGGUAAGAAUGGUUAUGUUACGUCCCUCCGAUUAGGUGUAUUUUUCUUCUUCUUCUUCUUCUUUUUCUUCUUCUUGUACGUAAUAAUUUCUCUUUCUUCCAUGAAGAUUUCUUUCUCUCUUUCUUUUUUUUUUUUUUAUUAUAAAUAAAAUGAUAAGAACUAAUUUCCUUACUAAUUGGUAGGGUCGUUUAAUGGUUCAGAUCCAUUAGAUUUUGUCAAAUUCAAGUCCAAUCCAUCAUAUAUUCCAUUUUAUAUUCCGGAUCCGAUCACUAAUAGAAAUCCAUUAUAAUUUAAAACAAUAAAACGUCGAAUCCAAUUUAAUUCGAUAUGAUCAAUCCAAUUAAAAUAAAAAUUUACAAAUAAAAAUCAUUAGUUGCUCUCUCCAGUUAUAAUUCUUAACAAUUAAAAAAAAUACAAAAUAUCAACUCCUUUAAUAUUUCAUGAUUCAUGUACUUUAUUAUCAUAUGGUUGGAAAAAAAAGUUGAAAUUUGAAUAUUAAAAGCAAAUGUUGGUUGCGACCUGCUGUUUGUAUUCUAUAUUGUUAUAGUAUAUUUAUAGUUAUUUUUUUAGCAAGUUAAAUAUAAAAGUGACAUAUAGUUUUUUUUUAUAAAAAAAAAUAAAUAAAGAAAAUAAAAAAUUAAUUGGUUGGAUUGGUUUAUAUUGGAUUUGAACAUAUAGAUCCAUAGACCAAUCUAAUAACAUUAUAUUUUUUAUUUUGCAAUCUUAUCCAAUCCAAUCAAAAUGUCAAUAUGACAAAAGUUGGAUUGGUUUUGAUCAGAUCGAUUGGUUUGAUUGGAUUGAAUUGAAUUAGAUCUUGAACAUCCUACCAAUUAGACUUUCCGUGAUUUUUUUUUUUCCAAAUUUAAUAAAGAGACUUCCCAUGAAUGUUAAAUGCAGUUUUAUUGAUGAAUUCUGCAAUUUUAAGAAAUGUUUGAUACACGAAUAAUGCAUCUCAUCAACCAAGUAACUGCGUCCCCUGCAGCAGCCGCGGCUUCAACUGGAAUACUGCAGCCACACCGGUCUUGAGACUCAACAUUCGGCCGAAACUCAAGCAAAAGUUGAACAAUAUCAGGCCUGCUUUGAGCUAUAGCAAUAUGAAGCAAUGUUUGUCCCUGCGCACCAGCAGAAUCAGCUGGGUGGGUUCCAAGCAGGGUCACUCUGUUCAAGAACCUCUCUUAUCUCAUCCAUUUCACCAUCCUUAACUAGCUGAACCACAACAUGGGACCCAACAAACAUGAUCUUGAUUCCUAUUGAUGAACGCUGGCUUCUUCCUUCUUGUGAACCAGUCACCAGGAACCGAAUCAAGCAUCAAUGUUGCAUCUUUAAUUGCAGCUGCAGGAACGACAACGCUAUGCAAGAGGAAGGAAUCAUCACAGUGAGGGAAAGUAUGAAGGAGAACUGAUCCUGGAGGAAGAUGAUACGCAAUCUCUAUGCUUACUGUUCCGAGUGGUUGCAUUGACCUGAAUAGUUCGAUCUAUUUCUCGUGUAUCUACUUGCGCUGCACUUUCACUCGAAGAACCUACAAAAUUAUUCAUAACCCGGCAUAAAAAAGACGUAAAGUUUUCAGCGCGAGCAUGGUAACUUCAAAACCCGUUUCAUACCUAUCAUAUUUCAUUCGUCCCGCACCCUCAUUUAAAAGACUAGAGCUUAUAAAAACUAGAAGUACCUUACCCAGAACAUAAAAGCAGACAAAACCCAGUCGAGUAUAAAUAUAACGUUGAAUAACACCUACCAUUUACCAUUUCAUUCAAGAACACCACACAAUUAACGAAACCAACAUCGGUAUGUUUUCAGCCGUUGUACUUUCAACUUAAUUUUGAAAGCGCGGCAGCUAAAGCCUAAACUGUUGUUUGAUAAAAGUCCACCCACUGACUGCUACCUGGCGGCUACCGAUUCCAUUCAAUAGCAGUCAUAAAAUAAAAAGUACAAAACAAACCUAUGUACAAAAAAGGCAAUGAAGCAGCCAUGGAUUCAGUUAUUUGCAUGUUUGGGAUUGUGGUUGAUUCCAAAUUGAGAAUAUACUGCGAAAUUAUGUUUGAUAAGCAUUUAUCUGAUGAUUGCUACUUUAUUGAGUGCCUGUUUGGUAUGGCUUAUUUAAAAGCCAUAAGUGCUUAUUUAAUCGUAUAAGCACUUUUUUAAAAUUUUUAUGGUGUUUGGUUAUUUUUUUAGUAGAGUUUUUUUAGCUUAAAUAAGCUAAUUUACCUCUACUAGCAAAAGCCCAAAAUUUGAGCUUUUGGGAGUAGAGGUUAAAGAGCUUAUCUAAAAAAUAUAUAAUAAAAAAAAUAUCAUACAGUUUAAUGAUUCAAAAGUGUUUUUUUUAUUGACAACCAAACACCCAAUGACUUUUUGUCCAAAAACUCUAUUGGUAUAAGCUCUACUGCUAUAAGCUCUAUUGUUAUAAGCUCUAUUUAAUAAGCUGUACCAAACGGAGCCUAAAGCAUUCAUUUUUUUUUUUCGCGUUUGGCCUCUUCACUUUUUAAAAAAUUUUAUGGUGUUUGGUUAUUUUUUUAGUAGAGUUUUUUUAGCUUAAAUAAGCUAAUUUACCUCUACUAGCAAAAGCCCAAAAUUUGAGCUUUUGGGAGUAGAGGUUAAAGAGCUUAUCUAAAAAAUAUAUAAUAAAAAAAAUAUCAUACAGUUUAAUGAUUCAAAAGUGUUUUUUUUAUUGACAACCAAACACCCAAUGACUUUUUGUCCAAAAACUCUAUUGGUAUAAGCUCUAUUGUUAUAAGCUCUAUUUAAUAAGCUGUACCAAACGGAGCCUGAGUCUUCAAAGAAAAACUCAAUCAACUAAUGCUCGAUUUUUUUUUUUAAAUGACAAAUCAAAAAGUAUUUUGGAGUAGAUUCUCAAAAGAGUGAUUAUUUGAUAAUCCACCAUAAUCCCACUUAGUUAUCAGAAAUAAAUUAAAAUCCGACGAAUGUUACUUAAGCCAAACAGCAUUAUUUUAUUUUGACCACAAGGACCACAACCCUCAAGCUGUCAAGCAACCGUUACCGUUAACGACCAAUCUUUCACCUCUCCGAAUCUUUGCAAGUCACUAUCAAGCAACCGUUACUAAUAUUUAAUCAAUUAUUAGGAUUAUUGGAUUUCUCAAAUACCUUAUGUACUUUGGUUCACUUUCUACUAAAAUAAAUAUUACAGGAGCUUUCAAAGUCUAGGCUAAGGUUGUUGUAAACAUAGAGAGAUUCAGAGAUAUAACAGCUUGUAAUUACAUACCACAAAGCAUAACUUUGUUCGAAUGAUAAUGAUCAUAAUCCAGAUUAUAGACGUAGAGAGAGGAGAAGUCGUACUUGAGGGGCAAAACGCGGCGUUUUGGCUCGUGGAUGAGGUGCUGCUCCUGAUCGUCGUAGAUUGAAGGGAGGAGAGGUCGGUCGAGGAAGUUUAGGAGACGGUGGAGGCUGAAUUGGUGAAUUUCGAUGAAGACUGACGAAUCCAAUGGGGCUUGAGGGUUUGAUUUGCAAAGAUGAAAGAUAAGAGCAUUGUUUUGGUUUCUGUGCAAAAAAAAAAAAAAAAAACAUGACAAGCGUUGUUUUGGUUUUGGUUCUAAAAAGAUGAAAAUUUGACUGCAAUGGAUCCAUACGCAGUCGGUGUCAAAUAAGAGGAGAAACAAAUAUGUUAAUCACUCGCUCAAUCACUCAUGCGAAGUGCCUUUUUUUUCGUUGCUUUGGCUUCUGAGAAAUAUAUGCAUCAGAUAUUACAACUCUCGAGGAUAAUGCAUUUUGUUCCGGUUUUGACUGAUAUUUAGUGGCAUUUGAUAAACUGAUACCUCAGAACCUGGUAGAGAGUUUAUUAAAUACAAAGAGAACAAAAAUAUAUGACUAUAUAAGCUUUUACACGGUUGAAGAUCCGGUCAAAUUGGCUUUAGUUAGCAAGAUCAUUUAAAACUUUCAAAAAACGAAUGGUAUCAAAAAGCUCUGAGAAAAAGCGGAAAAAAGGCACCACAAAGAUCUUGCAAUUAUUAUCACAGCUUGAUAAGACAUGGAAAUGUAUCUUACAAAUUGGCCUUCCAAGCAUCAAAGAAUUGGGUGGCGACAACUCCCAUUCCUAGCUGCUACCGUGGCCAGUCCCUUCUAACUAAAAUGGGACAGGACCAAAAGCAAGGUCUCUCCCACUCUCCUUAUGUAUAUAAAAUUCCCUACAUUCGAAUAAAACUACAGAAAAAGAUUUGCACAUCAUCUUCUUUCACCUUAUUUUGCAAUCUUCAAGAGUUUGGAAGAUUUCAAAGCACUUGUUAGAAUGUAGCACUCCAUUAAGCAUUCUCACCUUCCCCACACCCCAAUGGACCUCCUUAAUCCUAUCGGCAGACCUACAAAUUCUGCUGCAACUCCAAUCAAAUAAAGCAACACAAUUGUUGCCUGCCUAAGCCUUCCACUCACAGCCUGCAAUGACAAGUUCAUGAUACAAAAUCAGAAACAUUAAUAAACAAAAAGAUAUUACCAUUACUUGCAGAGGGGGAUUUGUUGCAAUUAGUAAAUGCCAUACUUAUCACUUUCAUUGCAGAUAUCAUCAUCAUCAUAAUACUAGCAAUCCAGCACUAAUAGUCAGAAUAAUAAUAAUAGUAGCAUGAAUAAAGAAUUUCUGCAGAGUAAGCUCUAAAGAUGCCGAAAGUGUCAUCUAUUAUGUUAAUAAUAAAAAAGUCUAUCAAGAAUUCAAGGAAAGAAAACUCAUUAACAAAGAACUAAACUUUUUAAUAAUGUUUAAUAAACUACGUACCUAUGAUUUUCUAUUAUUAACAUAAAUGACACUACGUACAACUGAUUUUCGCUUUCUAAUGUUUCAAAUCAUACCGAGAAAUAUAACAAUUACCAAGUCAGUAAGUAGCACAAUUACUUAAUAAGACUUUGACUUGUCUAACCCAAAAUUGUACCCAAUUCUAUACUCUACCAUGAAAAGCUUAUGAAGCCGAACUUACUUUGACCAAACAGUACUAUUAGCUCAGUUAAAGGAAACCACAAUUGAACAAAGUUCAGCUGAAAUAACUGAACUAAAAAAACUUGAUAAAAUUAAAAGUAACUUAUAACAGUUUAGUAAAGAAGCAUACAAAACAUGAAGAUAAAUAAACAUAGGUCUAUUUUCUUGACACUACCAGGUCCUUUCCUUUUUUUUUUUUCAGAUAAGAUCUCGAUACUACCAAGUUUUGGAUUCAAAAUCACCAUAUUACAAUAAUAGUUGUGAUUCAUGGGAUACAAUAUGUAGCAGCUUAUAUGUCGGCAAUUAUAGUCAAAGAUGGUUGUCAAACAUCAUCGCAAAUCAAGAAGCUAAUAAAGACCAUGUCACACUACAUUAACAUAUAUCAGUUCUUUGAUACAAAGAUAUUGAAUGUUAUACAUUUCUAAUCCCAAGUCCUGAAAUACAAAACAAAAGUUCACUUCACACAGUCAUAAAGCUAGACUGCUAGAUAAAUGGACAAUAGGCAUUGGAUAUGGGUCAAUAAACUAUUAAGCUAAUUAAUGCACACGAAGGAAUCCGUUAGAGCUAGUAAAAUAGCCCUUACCAGAGAACUCGCAGAAGCAUUCAAUUUCCUCAAAGGAGAUAACUUACAACAUAAACAUUUUGAUAAGCAGCAACACACAUAAAAUAGCUUCACUCACUAGCAACAGAGCAACUUCUUCAACACAUUAAUAAAUCCAUUUUCAUUUUUAAACAACAAAAUAAUGCCCAGUUUCUCCAGCACAAAUAGGGUAAGCAGUAAUAGAAAAACAUGAUACAUAGGAAUUACCGGCCUCAAGAAAUCUCCAAGCUUUCUGUCCUCUGCUUCAAUUGCUCAAUCAAGAAUGCCCCAGACGUUGCGCUAGCGUGGUGGUGGAGCGUCGCGAAGCGUGUGGCGGCGGUGUCGGCGAAGGCAGGUCAUGAAGAUAGUUGGUGUCGCGCAGCGAAGGCAGUGCAGCUGGUGUCAUGCGGCGAAGGCAAAUCGCGUGGUGGUGGAGUUGGGGUCGCGCGGCAGUGGCGGUGCGGUGCUGAGGCAUAAUAGUGGCGGUGGCGUUGUGCGACAGUGGCAGUGUGGAGGCAGAUUGCGUGGAGCUGGCGGUGUUGAGGCAGAUCGCGUGGAGGCAGAUGCCGCGGUGGUGGAGUUGCUGUCGCGAUCAACGCCUGUGAAAGGGAAUGAAAGUGAAGGAGAUACCUACAAAAGAAAGAACGAGUGAAAUUUUUUUUUUUGUUCAAGGGUUUCAAACCCACAUAAACCCGACUCUCACACGGGUUCAGUAAGUUUAUGCGGGUUUGACUGCAUUACAAAUUGGUAUGACCACAACAACAGUACAAUGAUUGGUAAUUACCAAACAUGCUAUUUAUGUUGGUAUUAAAUUAAUUUAAUACAAUGAGGAGUGGUAAUAUCAUACAAUGAGGACUGUUAAAUAUGGUGUGUUUAAUAUGUUGUAUUGUAUUAUAUUAUUUUAAUACAAAUAUAUUAUAUUAUCUUGUAUUAUAAUAUAAAAUAAUGAAAAAUAUCGAAUUUCAAUAUAUAAAAAAAAAAUAAAUAUAUUUUGUUAUAUUCGAUCUGCUGUACGGCCAAGGCGGAUGUACGGUACAGCAGAUAAGAAUUUAAAUACAUACACUUAUAAUACAACUUAGUUUUUCCACAUUGUCGAGGGAUCAAAACAACCCAUCAUUGGAGUCCAAUAAGUUAUGUGGCGACACAAAAAAGUAAUUCUAUAUUUUUUACGUCAUAAAUAUGUAAAAAAAAUUGUAUUAUAUCUUAUUAUUAUUAGUUUUUUUUCUUCAGUUUUGACAAGUAUAGUUUUCUUGUUGAGUGGCUCAACAAGGCUGGUUACAAUUUCGAAAUAAUGUUCCAUCUGUAUCUGUUUUCCUUUUGUUUUUGAUUUUGUAGUAUAGUUAAUUUGUACGAAUUUGUUGCCUGGUUGGUUUUUAUGCUGAAAAGUCAGUUCAUUGGAAAUGACAGAAAAUUGUUUUUCUUUUUCAUUUUUACAGAAAGAGAUUUGCAACGUUAUAAAAGUAAGAGAUCCUAAGAGAUCCCUGAAUCAUAUUAAAUAUUAAACUUAAGAUACAGUCAAGGCUUUUAUUAUGUUACUAAUCAUGUAACGAAUAUAAUUAUGUAGCAGUCGUUAAAUACAAAUUUAACAGUUAUAAAAAUAACAUGAUUUUAUUAUCUUAUAUUUCUAUAAUCGUUGAAUUUUUAUCUGCUGUACCGUACAUCCGCCUUGGCCGUACAGCAGUAUUGAAUUUUAAAAAUUUAAUAUUAUUUUUUUAAUAUAAAUAUUAAAAAAUAUCAUAAUUCUUCAUAGAAAUCGAAGUUCAUGGCAUUAAAUUUUUAACGCCGCAUACAUAAUAAAAAAUUUGAUUCUCUAGUGCCAAUAUAAUAGAAUACAUAAAAACGAGACUGAGAAACUACGAAUAAAGCUCAUCAUCAAGGACUCCACAACAUUAUAAGAAGUACUAUGUAACAUUUGCCAAAUUACAACACCACAUCAAGACAUAUCACAAUGUAAAAUUUUUCCUAGAGAUUUGGUAAUUGAAAAACACAAUUCAAGUUGAAAACUGAUAGUCGACUUGAAAAGUUUUAACAUAUCCCAUAAAAGAAAUGUGCCAUGCCAAAAAUCCUAACCCUUGGCUCUUUGACGAUAAGAAAAUAUUGAAAAUUCCAAAGUACAGUGCAAUGGGAGAAAGAAUGCCUAUAAAGCUAGUAAAGAUAUUCUUAAACUACUAUUGGGAUGUUGGGCUGGUUGGUAGCAAAACCCAAACCCUGCUGCUGAUUUCCGAUACCACCAUCUUGGAUAAGCCGCUCUCCCUCCUCUUCCUAACUCCUAAGCCCAAUAUCUUUCCAAAACCUUCACAACCCACUCAUAAAUCUCAUUGUUGUCGUGGAUAUGCAAAUUCUCAAUCUUUUCUACUCCAUCACACUCAUCAAUCAUUUGGGUAUAAACAUUAACCCAAUUAUCCAUUCCUAUUUCCUUGUUAACCUCACCCACCUUGAAAAUGUUCUCAAGACCCUAUAGACAAACUGUGACGAUCCUUUGGUCCAGACAAACCAGAAGAUCACAGAGCGGUUUGAUGCAACCUUGGCUCACCAGGAAUCUGCAGGACCAUGGUACCAUAAGUGAUUCUAUCACAUGAACAUCAUUAGAUUAAAAAAAGAAAAAAAAAAGAAACAUCUAUCGUAUGAACAUUGCUGAGUGAAUAAAAGAAACAUACUGAAUAUGUUCAUGAGAUCCUCCAUAUGUGGCAUUUAAGACAGGCCAUGCAGCCUCCUUGAUUUCAAGUUCUGCAUGUUGAAGAAGAGGUGCACAAAAGGAAGGAUAAGGAAGGAUGAUAUUGGCCUCCAUAACAGCCUGUUGAACAAAAAUUCGACAAAUUAUAAUUAUGAGUAUAUUUAAGUAGCAAUUUUGUCAGAAUUAACUAGACUUGACUAUUGAGGAAGUCACAUUCAAAAAUAGAAAAGACGAGCAAGCAAUUGUAUUCAUGCUAUCGGGACCAAAAUACUAUGAUGCAAGCAAGAAAGAAAAACAUACAUACAUAUAAAACACUAUCUUUGAGUUGGGUAUUUUCUUUCAAUUUUGAUAAUGGCAACUUUGGAUUCUUCUGCUGAAUUACCACCACCACCACACCAUUGUAGUUUCACAUACUAAGAAAAGGCAGGUUCAGCUCCCGUGCAUGCCCAUAAGAAUAUGAUGUAUUAAUUAGAAGUAAAAUUAAUCUGUUCAAUUAAGUUCUCUCAUAUAUUUGUGUGCGUGUGUGUGUUAAUUAGUUUGCUUUCAAAUCUUUUCUCCCUUCUUAAUGAUAUAUAUUUUAAGCAUGAUAUCAACCACGAUGAAUUUAUUAGCCGAUUUUUAAUUAUACAUUCAGCAUGAUAUCACAAACCAAGAGCUUAAGUUAGCCUAAUUCUUCAUAAAUCUAAUAAUUGCAAUCAAUAAUAAUGCUGAAAAUACGAGUUUGAAUUAAGCUAGCAACUGGUUCUUAAAUUAUGCAAUAUGUAAUCAUAGGUUUACUUAAAGAUUAAAGCAUUUCUGCAAUCCAUUGUGCAAAAAGAUUAAAAAAAAAAAAAAUAGUUGCCAAAUUUUAUCUAAAUAAAAAUUCCUUUAGUGGUUAGUACUUGUGAAUUAUAGAAAUUAUUAUUAGUACUUGCUCAGCGCUUUUUAGAUUUGUACAGGUAGAUUACGCCAUUUCAAACCCGACCAUCCAUUUAGACAUACAAAUCCCCCCAAUUCCCUGUCCUCCGCCUUUACGCGACUCUCCACUGUAUGUGCCAACUAAUUAAUUUUUUAAUUACUUGUUUAACUAAUUAAUUCAUUUUCUCAAAAGCAAGAUUAAUCUAUUUGUUCAAAUCUGAAGGAGAUUAAGUUAAUUGAUUUUAUUGUAUGUAAAAAUAUACAAAGAACUCAUGAAGCCAACUAGAAAAAAAAAAAAAGACAAAAAAAAAAUCAAACCCAGAAAUAAAAAGACAUGCUUCGACAGAAAAUUAAUGAAAAUUAUACUGAUUGUGGUUCAAUUUGAUCAAACCCAAAUAAUAACCGGUUUGAUUGAUGACUCAGCGGCAAAGUGCAGGCGCAUCAGUGGUUGCACAGAUGAGUGUUCUCGUGCGGCACGACAAAGCAAUUGUCGGCGAUUGUGAUUGGUGAUGACAUCGAGCGAUGGGGGUAAUGGCAUCGGUCGUGACUUUGUGAUGGAGAAACGAAUGUUAGAUUCGUUCGAAGAUUCGUGUUUUGAUUGAAUAACAAAGAGAGAUUUUAUGAGUUUUAAUUAUCUAAUACGAUACCGCAUAAACCCGACUCGUACGUGGGUUUAUUUUAUGCGGGUUUCGGUGUACUAAAGCAGUAAAUUUAUGUGGUGCAAUUCAAACUGAUUUCACCGCCAAAAGAUCGUGUAAAUUUAAUAUUAUACAGGGUUUUAAUACUAUGUAAUCCAAUACACCAAACAUGCCCUUAAAAACGGAUAGCAAUCCGGGGCCUUUAAAAACGGAAAAUACAAGCAGAGAAAAAGAAAAGCCAAUUGUUCAAAAGUGCCUAAUAUGCCCACGGAAAAUUUUCGUCACGACCCACAGUUACUCGAAUAGGUAAUAAGACAGGAAUGCCUUUGUUUGUUCGAAUAUAGAAGCACAAUGGCUCAGAAAGGAUCCCUCCAAUCUCCUUGGCACUGUCAGCUGGGUGCGGAGUAGCUUGGUGGCAGCAACCAUGUUUGAGAGGGCUGGCUUCACCUCAGUGUACUUGCGAGUCUUGAGACCACAGUCAGGGUUAACCCACAAAAUGUUGGUUUCUAGCACAGUACGCAUCUCGUAGAUUCUGUCAACAAUUUCUUCGGUUGAUGGUAUUCUUGGAGAGUGGAUGUCAUAGACGCCAGGGCCAAUUGCAGCAUCAUACUGGACUCCCUCACGGAAGACUGACAGGAGAUUCUCAUUAGAACGAGAGUUCUCAAUGGUGAUCACAUCAGCAUCCAUGUCGAUAAUUGAGUGGAUAAUGUCGUUGAAGUUGGAGUAGCACAUGUGGGUGUGGAUCUGUCAAUCAAUAAACAAUAGAAUGAGAUACAAAAUCAACAGCUAAAUUAAAGAGAUGAGAUUGGAGAUUAAAAGGGUAACUGACCUGGGUAGUGUCCUGGAUGCCACAGUUGGUGAUUCUGAAGGAGUGGACUGCCCAGUCCAAGUAGAAAGCAUGCUCAGAUUUCCUGAGAGGCAAUCCUUCCCUCAAGGCAGCCUCAUCAAUUUGAAUAACGUUAAUGCCUGCCUUCUCAAGAUCCUCGACUUCGUCCUUGAUGGCCAAAGCAAUCUGGUAGCAGGUUUCAUGUCUGCAAAAUUGGCAGCGAUUGAUGUUAAACAAUGUUUCCAUUCCAAAAGGUUAACCAAUAGUGAACCAGUUCUCAUUUAUAUACCUGGGCUGGUCAUUUCUGACAAAGGACCAGUUGAGAAUGGUGACAGGGCCAGUAAGCAUUCCCUUCAUUGGGCGAGCAGUCAUGCUCUGAGCCCAGGAGGACCAGAAGACGGUCAUAGCCUUGGGACGGCUCACAUCACCAUAGAUGAUGGGUGGCUUCACACAGCGAGAUCCAUAGGAUUGCACCCACCCAUUGGCAGUGAAGGCGAAACCUGAUAACUGCUCUCCAAAGUACUCAACCAUGUCGUUUCUCUACAAAAACAAAUGUCCGAAUUCAAUUUGAGAUCCAGCAUACUUCGUAUGCAAUUAGAAAUGCAGAAACAAAAAUGUAUAAAAUUUUAUGUAAUUCAAAACCAGGAGACAUUGCUUUGCUUCCAUUGGGCAUUGCGAGACUCACCUCAGGCUCUCCAUGGACAAGGACAUCAAUAUCAAGCUCUUCUUGGAGUUUGACAACCUUGUUGAUUUCCUCCUUGAUGGAAGCAACAUAUUCUUCCUCAGAAAUCCUAAAAAGGACAAAUAGUCACGGCACAGUUAAUACAGUAGUUGCAGUAAUUUCACACAUGGCAUUGAAUGAAGAAACACCUCAGAUUGACUCACUUCUUAGCCUUGUAUUCACGGCGGACUCUCCUAAGUUCAAUGGUUUGUGGGAAGGAUCCAAUUGUGGUGGUUGGGAGGAUUGGAAGAUUGAGCUUCUUCUGUUGAGCAUCUAAUCUAGCACUAACGUUUGUAGCACGUCUGUGGUCUGAUCCCCUCAAAGCAGCAGCCUAAUAGACCAAGAGGAAGGAAUCACUGUUAGCAAAAAAGGAAAUUCUAAGGGACAGCCACAUCAUAAAAAUGGAAAACAAAUCAAUCAUGCCACUUACAGCCUUUUGAACUGCCUCAUUGGUCACUCUCGGGGAGGACUUUCUUGAAGCCUGAGCUGCAGCAUUGGCAGAGAAGAAUCCCUGGAAACAAAUGAUAAGGAGAACCAAAGUUAGUCUCAUUCAUAUCAUUUUAAAAAGAAGAUACAUAUGCAAUUAGUGGGCUGAUUGUGAGAGAAAAAGUCCCCAAAACUUUAAUCAAACACCAAAUGCCCAAGUUGCCAAAUGAUGUUUAAUUCGGAAAAAUAUAUUUAAAAACAUUCAAAUAUAAUUUCCCCUUCUAAAUUUUCAUUUUCAACAACAUAUUUUACAAGCCAAGCUCAACGUCAGGCCAAGAUUUUGUGCUCCUAUAAUUAUAUUUUACCAUAAAACUAGGUCCUUGAAAGGCUAAGAUUUUCUGACUCUUGUGACUAGUCAAAGCCUAAGAUUCUUUCAAUUCAUCCGUAGUAAAAGUAUACCUCAUCCUUUUGGCCAGCCAAAGCCUUGGCCAAUGCAUUGACUUCAACAACUUUCUGGGCAGCAAAUGCCAGCCAUGACUUGAUUUCGUCGUCGAGUUUGUUCUCAUUAACAAGAUCAACAGCAGUGUGAAGAAGUGAGCAGGAGGUGGAGACCACAAGCUUGUCUGCAAAGAAAAGUAAUAAAUUAUACAACAAAUCCCAUAAUAGAAUAAGAAAUAUUUAUCACAAAGAAAAAUGCAAGCAAAGGAUGUAUACCUUUGCCAACAACACCCUCAAGCCCCCGGAGAACACUAAGAGAAGCAGCAAGAUCAUUGGCCCAAAUGUUCCUUCCAUCAACCACUCCAGCAAAGAGGUACUUGCCAGCAGGGAAUCCACUCUUGAUCAAUUCAAGGGUCUUGGUUCCACGAACCAAAUCAAAUCCAUAAGCGGUGACACCCUUCAAAGAAGUGAGGGUCUGGAAUGCCUCAGCUGGAACAUCAGCAAAGUAGGUCUCAACAAGAACAUUCAAGCCAGACAGAGUUGACUCUAGUUCCGCGUAAGCCUCACUGAAUGCUUGCAAUUUGUGUGAGUCAAGAUCCGUAACAAGCAAUGGCUCAUCAAACUGAAUCCAGGAAGCACCAGCAGCCUUAAGCUCAGAAACAACUUCCCUGCAGAAGUGUUAAUUGGUACGACACGGAUUAAUGAUGCCACACGAUACACACACACACACACACACACACACACACACACACACACACACACACACACACACACACACACACACACACACACACACACACACACACACACACACACACACACACACACACACACAGACAGAGUUAUUUAGCACAUACACGUUUAUAAAUCUGUAAAUAGGUGAUAAUUCUUACUUGUAGAUCGGAAGGAUUUUGGGAAGAAGAGAGAGAACAGAAAAGGUCUUCUCAACCCCCCAGGCAGGCUUAGACAGCAACAAGUAUGACACAGGGCCAAUAAGCACUGGGACAGUUUCAACUCCAUGCUGCAGCAUUAGACAAGUGGUAGAUAUUAGCAUCUCACAAACUUGAUCUGACUGAUAGAAAGUUACAAGCAAGUUAAGAAUAUGUUUGAUGAAAUUUCAAUGAAAAAUCUUCAGGGUCCACAACAUGUUGACUAUACCCUUUUUAAGUAAUUUAUCUUAAGACUAUUUUGCAAACAGUAUUGCUUCCCUUUACAGAUCAAAUAAAUCAUACAACAUCUGAACGCAUUUCCUGAGCCAAAUAUAAGUUCAAAGCUCUAUAAUAAAUGUCAAUGACUCUAUAGUAAAUUCCAUCACAUUCUGAGCUAUGGAUGAGCAUAUCAUAUGCCAAUUUCAAGUUGAACGUAACCCAAUUUCAACAUAUUGUAGAUUCAAGUAUCAAACGAAAAAAAAAAUAUUGUAAAUAUAGACAGAACUGAGAACAAACACUCACCCCCUUAGCCUCCUUGUACUCAGUCACAGCCUUGUGGGAAGCGUAGGAGAACUUAACAUCGGGUCCCAAUUCAGGAACAAUGAAAUGACUGCAUCAACACGAAGCCAAACACACGUCAGCAUUCAGUACAAAACCAUUACACCAUAACUAACUUGAAAUGCCGCUCUUCCAAGUAGUGAAUACUUACUAGUUGGUGUCGAACCACUUGGUCAUUUCCAUUGCGAGAACAGAGGCGUUUCCUCUGGCCAUGGAGAAGUAAACAUCGAAUCCAAUCUCGCCGCCGUUCCAGUUAAACCUCGGGGGCACGGCACCGAGCAUUGCGGUGGUGUCGAGCACUUGGUCGUAGUAGGAGAAAGUGUUGCUGGGAAUGUAUUUGAUCCCGGCCUCGGACAUCUGUUUCCAGAUGGAGGAUCUGAGAUCAGCGGACACCUUUUGCAAAUCCUCGGCGCUGCUCUUGCCAUCCCAGAAGGAUUCCAACGCGAACUUGAGCUCCCUCUUGGGGCCCAUGCGUGGGUAACCAACGAUGUGAGAUGCCAUUUUACUGUCAUAAUCACGUCAUCAAUGAAUCGAAAAUCAGUCCCUUCCAUUAAAUCAAGAAAUUAUUAAUUCAAAUGAAUGGAUCACAUUGUAUAUAUAUGGGAUAAAUAUAAUUAUGAACAAAAGCGUCUAAUCAAUCACAAAAAGCAAGCGACUGCAUCAAAUUUAGGGAUCCGACCCGACCCGACCCGAUCUGUAAAUUCCGGUUUCAAUCGGAUUAAGAUGAAACCUCUAACCCGAUAUAGUUGGAUUUUGGCCAACUCGAUCGGAUCAGAUCGGAUCGGAUUAAACUUAGUCCAAUCCGAAAAAUUCAAAAAAUCAAAACUACAAUAAGUAUAAAUCUAAAUUUUCAAUUCAAUUUGAUCUAAUCUGAAUAUAUUCGAAUCGGAUCAAAUACUAUGCUCUGCUUAAACUUGGAUUAUAUUUUUUUCAAUUUGAUUAACCUAAAAUUCGAUUGGAUAGAUCCAAAACUGAAUUUAUCUACCCCUCAGUCAUCAAUCAAUUACAAAACCUAAAAUCCGAUUGGAUAGAUCCGAAACUGAAUUUAUCCACCCUUAAGUCAUCAAUCAAUUACAAAGGCGACUGAUGUUUAUACAAUGGACAAUUAUUAAGUUACAGCUCUUGUAAUUUACAACUUAUACAAAAAUAUGUGAAAAAUUGUGAUAGGCAGUACAGUGUCAUGAUUUUAUACAAAAAUAUGUAAACAAUUGUGAUAGACGGUAGAACCUCAUGAUUUUAUAAAAAAUACGUAAAAAGUUGGGAUAAGUAAUGGAGCCCGCAUAAUUUUUUAUCAGCUGCAAGUUGCAAGUUACAGCAACUGUAACUUAGCGACCCCGACUUCAAUGUAAAAUGAGAAAGUACUCCUCCGCAUAGUACCUGAUGCUCAAAAGUCAAAUCACACGAAAUGCAAAUAGACUUAUCAGAGCAUAAAACCUUAUAUUACUUUUUGAAAAACGAUUUGAAACAAGGGCAAAAUUACAGUGUAACCGUACUUAGUCAUUGAAUUCAGCUCACAAUUAUCAUUAUAGUUAGAUCUAAUAACUAGAUCCAACUGUAUCCACAGUUAUAUUGUAGUUAGAUCUGAUAACUAAAUCCAGAUCCAGCUGUCCCCACAAUUGUCAUUAUAGUUAGAUCUAAUAAUUAGAUUCGGCUGAUUCAGCUGUGAUGUAGUACCCUGUAGUGCCAUAACUGGACAAAGAAACAAACUGAUAUAUUUUCUUUUUUGAAACAAACUGAUACUAAUCCAAGAGUUUCAGAUGAUCGGUUUUUUUUUUUUUUUCUAUAGUCACAUCAAUAAUUAAGUACUUUCAGUCAUUUUCGAAGGAUUAAAACGAAAACUCUAAAAAAAUUCUGAGAAUGAAGAAUCCGAAAAUAGAUUCAGAAAUAGUAACACAAGUAGAGGUCAGAUUGUUUUUUGGAAAAGAUUAAUUGCAGAUCUGAUGAACUCAAGUCUAGAUCUAGCAAAAUCACGGCAGCCAAACACUAGAUCUAAGACUAACAGUCACUCACCAGUCGAUCAGAAAGUGAAAUCAAGUUCAAAAUUCUUUUUUUUUAAUAGAUCCAAAAGCUAAUAUACAUAUAUAUAUGGCAAAAUAUAUAUACCGUACCCGAGAAGGACGAGCAGAGAAAUUAAGCUUUUUUCGAGAGAACGAGAAAGAAGAGAGACGAGACUGUUAGAAAUUGCUGUCAGUUUAAUUUUUAUUUAUAGCCAAAAACCUAACCUUGUUUAGUGGUUACUGGUUACCGUCUUCGGCGGUGUUGAUCUGAGAUUUAUCAUUUUAAUUUCUUUCUCUUACUUAUUUAUUUAAUUUGGGUCCAACUACGGUGAAACUGUAGUACCGUGCUACAGUUAUUUUCAACCGUUUGAUUCACUUGGAUGGUGGGAUCCAAUAAAAUCCAAUAACUGGGUGCAACCGUAGCACGGUGCCGCAGUUGCACCACAGUUUUUCCCAUUUAUUUAUUAUGCUUUCAGUGCAGUUGGCAAAAACAUGGAGCUUACGCGCGCUUUUCUGAUGUGGCGCGUGAAUUGGAAAUGUGGUAGAUCUUUGUGGAUCCGCCGGUGCAGUGAAGAGUGAAGGAAAAAAGAGAAAAGUUAUCAUGCCAGAUCAUUUGAAGAGAGCCGCAAUUAGUAAUUACACCACAAUAUAUUUCUGAUUAUUUGCUUACUUUGAUGAUGUUUUUACUGAUUAGUAAUUGGAAUAUGUUAGAAUCUAAAUAUAGUAGAAUCAUAAUAGAGUUGAAUCAAAAUAGACUAUAAUUAGAAUGGAUAAUGGGAAUUAGAAGAAUUAUUUGCUUUAGUUGUGAGAAUCCAAAUUGGAAUGAACUAUAUUGUCGUUGAUAUGUUUACUUUAUCAUAGAAUAUGAAUGAAUUAUUACAAGUUACUAAACAGACCUUAAGUUGAUUAUUGUCAUUAUUUAUUUAUUUAUUAUUAUUAUUAUUAUUAUCAUCAUCAUCAUCAUCAAAAUUAUUAAUCUUAUUAUUAAUGUUAAUUAUAAUAAUUAAUAAUUAUAAUAGUAUUAUAAUAAUAAUAAUAAUAAAAGCAAUCAUAAAAUGAGAAUUUCAAGAUUUAAGUAGAGAUAAUAUAAUUAUUUUAGAAAAUGAGAAUUUCCAUGAGAAUGUGAACUCUAUUAAUCAUUCCCAAUUUGAAGUGGGGCCUGCCAUUUUGAUUCAAUCUCUCAUUUAAGCAAGUAAAUACGACAUUUAUUCUCAUUCCCUCAUUCCCACUCUCAGGUAGCGUUUGUUUUUUAACUUAAUGACUUAAAGUGACUUAACUUAAUUAAUUAAGUUAAUUAGAGGUGUUUAUUUUUAUAACUUAAUGAGACUUUUUAGAUAAUUUUGACUUAAUAAAAUGAGCCAAUUUUUUUUGGCUUUUUACUUAAUGGAGAAAUUUGAAUUUAGUCAAUUACUUACUAAUGUCAAAAAUAUCUAUGUUUUAUAAUUUAUUUUUCAUGUCUAUCCCAAAACUCACCCAUAGACAUUUACCCCACAUAAAAAUAUCCCUAUUUUUUCUUUCUUAUAUUAUAUACGAUAAAAUUUGAAAUUUAUGGUAUUUUAUAUAUUAAAAUUCUAAAAUAAUUAUGUAUUCACUUGAAUAUAGUUUUACUUAUAACUGUUAAAAUAUUGUGGUAUUUAAUAUAUUAUUUAUUUGACAUUAAAAUUUAAUAAGGAUACAAAUGUAAAAGUACAUAUUUUCAGUUUUUUCAGUUAAAAAAAAAGCAACUUAAUACUUAUUUUUCGAGAUUCAGACGAAAAAAUAAACAUAUUAUUCAUAUUCAGACAUUUAGAUAUAUUCAGAAUUCAAACUAAUUCAGGUCUAUUCAGAUUUUAGACAAAAAAAACAAACGCCACCUCAAUCAAUAAACACACCAUAAAUGUAGAGUUGUUACUAUUAGAAUACAUUAUAAUUCAUCACAAUUAUGAUAGGUAUAUACGUGUGUAAUAAUUUAUAUAAGAUGCUAAAUUUUGAAAAUAAUAAAAAAUCAUUUAUACAUAUUUAAAAAAAUCAUUAAUACAUUAAAAUGUGCAUCACAUAUACAUUUACAUAAUAGCAAUGACCAUAGUAUAAAAAAAACUCCUAAAAGAGAACGACUUCGUUAUUUAUGUUAUUUUAUAUAUUUUUAAUUGAUUAUUAAAAGGAUCAAUUGUUAAUUAUUAUUCUCCAAACAUAAUCACCGUUAAACAUUUAUUCAAUUUAACAAUAGGUAGAUGUUAAAUAAUAUUGGAAUAUUUAAUGAACAAUAUAAUCACUAUUGCAGUUGUUUUUUUUUUUUAGUAAUGGAUUAUUCGAAACUCAAAUUCAUUUUUUAGCCCCCUUACCUCUCUUAAAAUUCAAAUUUAAGUGACUAAACAAAUAAAACUGCUUAAAAUCUAUACGACUACAUCUUUGGGGACCAAUUAAUAUGGAUGUUUAAAUCUUGAUUUAUUAUUAAAUCUUUGAGUUUCAACCACUAAUAACAUCAUCAUCGAUUAAUGACAAAUAAAAUAAUACAUCAUCAAAACCAUUAAACACGUCCAUCAAUAUCAAAAACAAGUAAAAAGUUUAGCAUGUAUUUCAAAUAUACUUUUCAUCCCAAAAGUUGUAGAGAAAGUCUCGAUAUCAAUGUCACUAUGAGACGUAAUUUUAUAUUUAAAGUCAGCGCAACUUAAAAAUUACUAUGAAUGAAUAAUACACCAUAAAAAAAUUAUUUAUAAGUAUUUUCAUCAUGUAUUUUUAUUUAACAAUGGUGACAUUUAUUUUUUAACUUAAUGACUUAAAGUGGCUUAACUUAAUUAAUUAAGUUAAUUUUAGGUGUUUGUUUUUAUAACUUAAUAGGACAUUUUAGAUAAUUUUGACUUAAUAAAAUAGGCCAAUUUUUUUUAACUUUUUACUUAAUAGAGAAAUUUGAAUUAAGUCAGUUACUUUCUAAUGUAAAAAAAUAUUCCUACUUUAUAAUUUAUUUUUCAUGCAUAUUCAAAAACUCACCCAUAGAUAUUUACCCCACAUAAUCUCAUCUUUAUUUUCUUCCAGCCGUCAUGGAAUCCCUCCUCACUUUGCUUCUCUCCUCUAGUUCUUGAAUCUCCCUUUAAUUUCUCGCUAGGCAAAGCACUUGAAUUGGGCUUUUUUUUUUUCCUUUUCAAUUACGUUUUCCAACAUUCACUUAUAUAAUAAUCAACUAGUUGCUACUCUUUUUAGUGAUAAAAUUUGAAAUAUGGUAUUUUAUAUAUUAAAUUUUCAAAAUUAUGUAUUCACUUAAAUGUAGUUUUACUUAUAAAUAUUAAAAUAUUAUGUUAUUUAAUAUAUUAUUUAUUUGACAUUCAAAUUUAAUAAGGAUAUAAAUGUAAAAGUACAUAUUUUUAAUUUUUUAAGUUGAAAAAAUAACUUAAUAUUUAUUUUCAGAUAUUCAAAUAAAAAAUAUAUUAUUUAAAUUCAAAAAUUUAAAUCUAUUCAAAAUUUAAAGUAAUUCAGGUCUAUGCAUAUUUCAAUCAUAAAAACAAAUGCCACAUGAGUCAUUCAAUUUCUAAUUAAGAGGAUAAAAAAUAGAUUUGGACUAUCCUAAGACAAAAACAAAAAAAAAAACAAAAAUAAGAUUUCCUAAUAAGUGUACUAACGUGGUCACGCGCCUUGAGAAACGCUUGGACCUAACACACUAUUUUAAUCCGAUAUGCAAAAAAAGAAAAAAAAAAAAAAGGAAAAAUUAUGAGAUGUAUAAGUUUCUAGAGACGUGUUAAAUUUUGAUGAAACAAUGAAGAAAGUCGGUGGCCGAAGUUGGUAUGGGGCAAUGCGAAUGGUGGUUGGCCCACGUUGCCCUGUAAUUGGAGUUGUUAUAAUUUUUCUUAUAAUUAAUAGGACUUGACACAGACUGCAGCAUCAGCCGUUGGAUGUGGAGGGAGAAACUAAACAAUAGAAAACCGUAUGGUGGGAUGACGGUAGAUGUUUGUUACAGAAACUGUACCAUAGACAGGUCCUAAUUAAUAAGCUCUACGUUUUGAAACAAUAAAUAAACUCCAGAUGACCAAAAUAUCAUUUCAUACUGCUACCUAGACAUCUUGGCGAGGGUGGGUAAUGUGGGGCCCGGAGCUUGUUUGAUCGUCAAUUAUUCUCUGGUUUGGUGAAACGAAUGGACGGACGAUGGUGAUGGCUUUUAGGAGAUUAGUAUUAUUAUUAUUAUUAUUAUUAUUACAUUGAGAUCGUAAAACAAAAAAUUCAAUUAAUAAUAUAAAAUAUUUAUUUAAUUUAUUAAUUAUUAUAUAUACACAAUAAAAAAAUUUAUAUACAUAUUUAUAAAUGUGUAAAUAAAUUUCAUUCAAUAUUAUAUCCAAUUAAUCAUUUAUAUUUUUCUGCUGUACCGUACAUCCGCCUUGGCCGUACAGCAGUAAAGCUGCUGAUGCUUUAUCGCGAAUUCAUGAGGAAAAUGUGAUUGAAGAACCCAAACCAACAACUCUUUGUUUGUCGUUAGACAUUUACCCCACAUAAAAAUAUCCCUAUUUUUUCUUUCUUAUAUUAUAUACGAUAAAAUUUGAAAUUUAUGGUAUUUUAUAUAUUAAAAUUCUAAAAUAAUUAUGUAUUCACUUGAAUAUAGUUUUACUUAUAACUGUUAAAAUAUUGUGGUAUUUAAUAUAUUAUUUAUUUGACAUUAAAAUUUAAUAAGGAUACAAAUGUAAAAGUACAUAUUUUCAGUUUUUUCAGUUAAAAAAAAAGCAACUUAAUACUUAUUUUUCGAGAUUCAGACGAAAAAAUAAACAUAUUAUUCAUAUUCAGACAUUUAGAUAUAUUCAGAAUUCAAACUAAUUCAGGUCUAUUCAGAUUUUAGACAAAAAAAACAAACGCCACCUCAAUCAAUAAACACACCAUAAAUGUAGAGUUGUUACUAUUAGAAUACAUUAUAAUUCAUCACAAUUAUGAUAGGUAUAUACGUGUGUAAUAAUUUAUAUAAGAUGCUAAAUUUUGAAAAUAAUAAAAAAUCAUUUAUACAUAUUUAAAAAAAUCAUUAAUACAUUAAAAUGUGCAUCACAUAUACAUUUACAUAAUAGCAAUGACCAUAGUAUAAAAAAAACUCCUAAAAGAGAACGACUUCGUUAUUUAUGUUAUUUUAUAUAUUUUUAAUUGAUUAUUAAAAGGAUCAAUUGUUAAUUAUUAUUCUCCAAACAUAAUCACCGUUAAACAUUUAUUCAAUUUAACAAUAGGUAGAUGUUAAAUAAUAUUGGAAUAUUUAAUGAACAAUAUAAUCACUAUUGCAGUUGUUUUUUUUUUUUAGUAAUGGAUUAUUCGAAACUCAAAUUCAUUUUUUAGCCCCCUUACCUCUCUUAAAAUUCAAAUUUAAGUGACUAAACAAAUAAAACUGCUUAAAAUCUAUACGACUACAUCUUUGGGGACCAAUUAAUAUGGAUGUUUAAAUCUUGAUUUAUUAUUAAAUCUUUGAGUUUCAACCACUAAUAACAUCAUCAUCGAUUAAUGACAAAUAAAAUAAUACAUCAUCAAAACCAUUAAACACGUCCAUCAAUAUCAAAAACAAGUAAAAAGUUUAGCAUGUAUUUCAAAUAUACUUUUCAUCCCAAAAGUUGUAGAGAAAGUCUCGAUAUCAAUGUCACUAUGAGACGUAAUUUUAUAUUUAAAGUCAGCGCAACUUAAAAAUUACUAUGAAUGAAUAAUACACCAUAAAAAAAUUAUUUAUAAGUAUUUUCAUCAUGUAUUUUUAUUUAACAAUGGUGACAUUUAUUUUUUAACUUAAUGACUUAAAGUGGCUUAACUUAAUUAAUUAAGUUAAUUUUAGGUGUUUGUUUUUAUAACUUAAUAGGACAUUUUAGAUAAUUUUGACUUAAUAAAAUAGGCCAAUUUUUUUUAACUUUUUACUUAAUAGAGAAAUUUGAAUUAAGUCAGUUACUUUCUAAUGUAAAAAAAUAUUCCUACUUUAUAAUUUAUUUUUCAUGCAUAUUCAAAAACUCACCCAUAGAUAUUUACCCCACAUAAUCUCAUCUUUAUUUUCUUCCAGCCGUCAUGGAAUCCCUCCUCACUUUGCUUCUCUCCUCUAGUUCUUGAAUCUCCCUUUAAUUUCUCGCUAGGCAAAGCACUUGAAUUGGGCUUUUUUUUUUUUCCUUUUCAAUUACGUUUUCCAACAUUCACUUAUAUAAUAAUCAACUAGUUGCUACUCUUUUUAGUGAUAAAAUUUGAAAUAUGGUAUUUUAUAUAUUAAAUUUUCAAAAUUAUGUAUUCACUUAAAUGUAGUUUUACUUAUAAAUAUUAAAAUAUUAUGUUAUUUAAUAUAUUAUUUAUUUGACAUUCAAAUUUAAUAAGGAUAUAAAUGUAAAAGUACAUAUUUUUAAUUUUUUAAGUUGAAAAAAUAACUUAAUAUUUAUUUUCAGAUAUUCAAAUAAAAAAUAUAUUAUUUAAAUUCAAAAAUUUAAAUCUAUUCAAAAUUUAAAGUAAUUCAGGUCUAUGCAUAUUUCAAUCAUAAAAACAAAUGCCACAUGAGUCAUUCAAUUUCUAAUUAAGAGGAUAAAAAAUAGAUUUGGACUAUCCUAAGACAAAAACAAAAAAAAAAACAAAAAUAAGAUUUCCUAAUAAGUGUACUAACGUGGUCACGCGCCUUGAGAAACGCUUGGACCUAACACACUAUUUUAAUCCGAUAUGCAAAAAAAGAAAAAAAAAAAAAAGGAAAAAUUAUGAGAUGUAUAAGUUUCUAGAGACGUGUUAAAUUUUGAUGAAACAAUGAAGAAAGUCGGUGGCCGAAGUUGGUAUGGGGCAAUGCGAAUGGUGGUUGGCCCACGUUGCCCUGUAAUUGGAGUUGUUAUAAUUUUUCUUAUAAUUAAUAGGACUUGACACAGACUGCAGCAUCAGCCGUUGGAUGUGGAGGGAGAAACUAAACAAUAGAAAACCGUAUGGUGGGAUGACGGUAGAUGUUUGUUACAGAAACUGUACCAUAGACAGGUCCUAAUUAAUAAGCUCUACGUUUUGAAACAAUAAAUAAACUCCAGAUGACCAAAAUAUCAUUUCAUACUGCUACCUAGACAUCUUGGCGAGGGUGGGUAAUGUGGGGCCCGGAGCUUGUUUGAUCGUCAAUUAUUCUCUGGUUUGGUGAAACGAAUGGACGGACGAUGGUGAUGGCUUUUAGGAGAUUAGUAUUAUUAUUAUUAUUAUUAUUAUUACAUUGAGAUCGUAAAACAAAAAAUUCAAUUAAUAAUAUAAAAUAUUUAUUUAAUUUAUUAAUUAUUAUAUAUACACAAUAAAAAAAUUUAUAUACAUAUUUAUAAAUGUGUAAAUAAAUUUCAUUCAAUAUUAUAUCCAAUUAAUCAUUUAUAUUUUUACAGCGGUUUAAUAAUAAUAUUUACUAAAUACAUAUGAUUAUUUUUAAAAUUCACAGUAUUUUUAAAAAUAAAUUUUAUAAAAUUUUUAACUAAUUUUCUUUACAACUAACUAUUGAACGGUUUAACUAAUAGUAAUUAUUUUUAAAAUUAUAGUAUUAUCAAAUUAGUCCUAUGUCAAAUUUGUUAUUGCUGUUUUUUUUUUAAUUAAAAAAUUACAUAGUGCAUACGUGCAUAAUAUGCCCAACUCAAAAAUUCACACAAAAUAUACUAUUUAACUUUAAGGCUUUAAUUGAAAAAAAAAAUUAAGAUUAAGAUGAAUAAAUACUAGAACAUAACAAAUAGAUAAACUCUCCCAUUCUUUAAAAAGAUUAAUUUUAUUUUAAACUUACACUUCGAAUUCAAAGUAGACAUUGAUUGAUAAAAUUAUACAAACGGAUCAAUAUUCCUACAUUUUCUUUUUAAUUUCAAAACCAACAGAUAUUGUUUGUUCAUUAUAUGACCUCCAAACAAAUAAUUUCAUUAAUAAAAUAAUAAUGAAAAGUGUCGUGAUGGGUAUAGAGUAAUUAGGUGGCUAAGUUUCUACUUUUCAUUCUAACUCUUGAGGUUGGUAGGCGCGUGGGUGGUCCACAAAACCCGUGGACGGUAGCAUUCAAACAAAGACUGGAGGCACCAGAAAAAUGUCCAAAAAGUGUGAAACCGUGACGUGUUCAACAUGUUAAUAAAUUUAGGCAAAUGUUAAAGUUACGGAGCUGGCUACGUUACAGAAACUGUACGUAACAGCCAUGCAUUUUUUAUUCGUUGGAUCUAGAGACUGAAAUUGGAUGGUUGGGAUUAAAGGCCAGAAUAGAAAUUAAUCACGGGCAACCGUUUUUAACAUUUAGAAGGGUUUAUUUUCAUGCACACCCAAAUAUUUUGACAAAUAUCAAUAUGCACCCAGUAACUUUUUAUGUAAAACCACAUAACCGACCCGUUAACUUUUCUACUAUUGAAUUAAAAAACUAUCAUGCCUCAAUUGAAUUAAAUUGAUCAGGUAAAAUAUCUUUUAUAACUUGUCAAUUUUUACAGUGAAAUAUACGAGUAUUUAGUAAAAUCAAAUUUAUUUUUUAUUCAGUAAUCAAAUUUUUUUAUUUAGUGAAAUCAAAAUUAUUUUUCUUUAGUUGUAAGAUUUUUUUAACAAAAAAAUUCUAAAAUCAGAUUUAACUCAUUUACUAUUUUAAAAAAUGAACUUUUUACUAACCAAACUAGAGUUUAUCUUUAGUCAACAUAUUUUUUUCUCUAAAAUAACCUUUGAUAGAAUUACUUAUAUAAACAUGUCAGUAUCAAAAUUACUUCAUAUUUUACCAUCCAUCAAUUUAAACUAGUGUGAAAUUUUUUUAGUUUGAUAUUGAAAAUAUGAUAGUUGAUGAGAGAAAUCUAAUUCAAAUUUACAGAUAGAAUAGUUUCUUAUAAUUGCGUACAUGGUAUAUCAAAAAUAUUUUUUUGUGAGUUUUUAAAAAAAUUGUGUCACAAGAUGAAAUUAUCUCUUGAUUUUUCAAUUCCUGGAAUUUAUGUAAAACAAUAAACACAAGUAAAUCUUUUGGUUUGUGACUUCUUGAAGGAAUGUUUGGGAACGCACAAGUUCCUCUCUCCUUCAAAAAGAAUGAUAAGUGCAAAUACCAACCUAGAAAAUUGAUUUAUAAUUCAAAGAAGAUUUGAUUGAAGAUGAUUAAUUGAAAUUUAUCUUUGCAUGAUGUCAAACAUUUUUCAAAAUGACUAAGUCAAGUCUCUUUGUUAAUUCAAAUCAAGAAAAAUUAGAAAAAUAUUAAUGCAUAGAAAUUCUACUAAGAGUUAUUUAUGAAAUUCUCAAACGAAUAGAAAUUAAAUUAACAUUUUUAAAUUUUAGUUAUGGGUUUAUUUUAAAAAUGGGUUUAGAAAGAAAUUUGAGGGGUUUAAAGAACCCCGCCCUUUCUUUAAUUAUUCGGUGAAUUUGAAAUAUAUUAAUAAGGUAUAAGAAUAUGUUAUUCUAAUCUUCUUAUGCAAAAUCUAUGCAAUUAAAAAAAAAUUCACCAAACGGUAUUUGUCUUUUUAUUGACAUUUAAUAAUAUUGAUGGCAAAUAUAUACAAUUAUCAAUCAAUUGUUAUCAACUAUUCAAGAUAACUGAAAAACUAAUUGCGUGAAGUUGGAGUAAUGAUUGUUUGAAUUGCCAAGAGUUUUUUUUUAAUAGAAACUAUUGCAAUUCAUAUCAUUAAAAAACUUAAAGACUACAAGUCGAAUAAAAAAUCUUUCCUUAUAAAAGAAUUUGACCAACUCAAAGUACAGUGUUAAAUCCUUGAGAUACAAUGAACCUAAAAAUCCUACUUUGACACACCACAAAUAAUGAAUCUAACUUAACAAUCAAUGGAGAUAAAUCAAUUUUACUAGCAAAAUAUAAGCCAAAACACAAGGCAACGUCUUCACCAAAAUCAAUAUCAUUCAAAUAAUUCCCCUUGUGAACGCCUGAAGCUAUCAUAAAAACAACAAAAAAUAAAAAAAUAAAAACAAGUAGACAAGCAAAAAAAUUCCCCAAUAACAAGUUACCCUACAAAACUUUUCCUUGUAGAACAUACACAGAAACCGCAGCUAUAGGGCUAUCGAAAGUAGGGAUGGCAAUGGGGAGGGGAGGGGAGGGGACCAAUCUCCCCAUACCCAUCCCCGAUAUUUUGCGUAUGUCCCCGUCCCCGUCAGAAUUGCUUGAGAGAAUCUCCAUCCCCUCCCCGAAUAAUAACAGGGGAUCCCCGAGGGUCCCCGGUCUUUGGAAAAGCUAGGAAAGAAAAGGGACGUGAAAAACAAAGGGGGUAGAUUUUUUGAAGGGGAAAGAAAAAGAAACCCUAGAUCUAAAUUUUUCUCUUCUCUCUAUGAAGAACUAAACCUAUUAUUCUGGUUGAAGAUUAAUAAAGCUUUGGUUCAUCAUUACUGUGAGAUCUUUCUUAUGCUUUAAUUGUUUUAUUGCUUUUUGGGUAUUUGUUUAUUCUCUAAAUUAUUGUCAUGAUUAUAUUUGUUAAUUAGAUAAUUGGCCACUAUUUAAUUAUCAACUUAAUCUAUUGUCAAUUAAAAGAUUCAUCGUAUGAAGAUUUUAAUAUUUGUGACAAAUAGCAUAGCAGUGCGUUGUGUUAUGAGAAUAAACAAUCUAAUUUAAAUGAACCAUCGUAUGCGUUUGUUGAUUAGGAUUUGGGUCUCUCUGAUUUUUCAGGUUGUCAAUUAAUUAAAUCCUAUGAUUGUAUCUAGGGUUAUCUAUUAAUUAGGGAAAUAACCAAUGGUCGUACCUUAGUUAUCGACUAGUUAAAGAGAGAUUGGCUAUUAAAGGGUCUCAGUAGCUAGGGAUGGCAAAAAUCCCCACGGGGACGGGCACCCUCGGGGAUUUUCCCCAUUCGGGGAGGGUACGGGGAUAAUUUUAUACCCAAUUUUUUUUUCGGGGAGGGGACGGGGAAAAUUUUUUACCCAAUUUUUUAUUCGGGGAGGGGACGGGGAUGAGGUGGAAUCCCCAUCCCCUACCCAUUUCCCCAUUUUAAUUUUUAUUUUUUAUUUUUAAAAUUACUAAUAAAUAUAUAACAAAAUUAUAAAUAUUGGCAAGAUAUGAGUGGAAUUUUGGGUGUGACAUGUAUAUUUGAUCCAAGGUAUAAAAAGAAGUUCAUUGAAUAAUACUUUUCUUUUUAUUUUUAAAAUUACUAAUAAAUAAAUAACAAAAUUAUAAAUAUUGUUAAAAAUAAUAAAUAUCAAAAUAGUUGUAUGUUGGGAAAGUGGUCACCCCUUACCAGGAAUUAGUGGAAGAGUAUCAAUUGAAGUUUUCACCAAUUGUUUAUUGCUUUGAUUAUACUGGUUGUAGUUCUUCUAUUAGAUCUACAGGGGAUUCUUAUAAGAAAGCAACCAAAUGGAUGACAUGUUUUGAUGAUUAUGUAAACAAUGGAGAUUGUGCAGUUGUUGCAGAUGAAUUAGAUUCAUAUUUGGAUGAAAAAGUUAUACCCCGGAUGGAAGAUUUUAAUAUUUUGAGUUGGUGGAAGACAAAUGCUAAUAGGUAUCCUACAUUAGCUCGAAUUGCUACAGGACGAGCAGGAGGUAAAUAGUUUUAUUAAAAAUAUUAAUUAAGUAUCUACAUUUAUUUCAUUUAUUUUAUUGCCGAUGUAAAAAAUAUUUUUUUUUUCUUUUUAUUGUAGGAUUAUGAAGAUUGAGACAUUGAUAAAGAUAAUUAUUUUAAUAAUUUAUAUUUUGAAUGUGACUUUGUAAUGGAUCAAUAUUAAUGUAAGAUAUAUUUUAAACUUUAUUUUUAUCUGAAUUUUUUAUUUUAAUAUGAUUAAUUUAAAAUCAAAAAUAAAAAAAUGUAUUAGACUAUUAAUUAUUCGGAGACCGGGGACCCUCGGGGAUCCCCUGUUAUUAUUCGGGGAGGGGAUGGGGAUUCUCUCAAGCAAUUCUAACGGGGACGGGGAGGGGACGGGGACAUACGCAAAAUAUCGGGGAUGGGUAUGGGGAGAUUAGUCCCCUCCCCUCUCCUCCCCAUUGCCAUCCCUAGAUUUUUGCCAUCCCUAUCGAAACCUCUACCCACCACUAUUAGAGUUAAAAAAAUCUCUGAUAUGAGUGUAUUCUUCUAAUUUGAACUCUAACGUGAUUUUUUGAGAGAUUCAUUGGAAAAAAACCUUAAGGAGUUAAAGAAGAAAUUUAAAAAAAAAAUCAUAAAAAGAGGAAUGAAAAGAAAAAGAUGCUUUACCAAGAGUUGAUUGACAGUAAUUGGUAAAUUUGAGCAUGCAAUAAAAUUUACCCAUAUAUUCAUAUGACAUAAAAUAUAAUUUUAUUCAUUAAUUACACUACUAAUUUGUCUAAAUUUUAGUUUUUAAAAAAAUAAAUUUCUAUAUAUUUACAUAAAUCUUAGUUUUUAUAAAAAUAAAUUGAAAAAUAAAUUUAUGUUUUUAUAAAAAUAAAUUUAUGUUUAUUUUUUUACAUUGACCUGAAGAAAAGACUAGUACUACUAAGCUGCUGUACGGCCAAGGCGGAUGUACGGUACAGCAGCAAUUUGACUGUUUGGGGGUGGGGUUGAUGGCUUACAUCAAAGUUAGUGUGUGCUAAGGAUUAACAAUAAUAAUGGGGUAAAUAUGAAAUUAAUCCUUGCCCAAGCAUUAGAAGUUCGUCGGUUUUCUUUUAACCGGAUAAUUACCGGUGAAUAUGUCACGCGUUCCUACACGUGGCAGCAUCUAAUUUAUUCGCUUGUCAUUUCAGUUUCUGUUAGUUACAGUUUCUGUAACGUAGCUAGCUCCGUCAGGUACAGGCAUGUUGUAACUUACGUUUCUCGUAAAAAUCAUAUAAGUUCUAUUUCUACCGCUAGGGUGAGCAUGGGUUGAUUUGGAUUAAAUUUUAAGUUAAUUUAAAUUAAAUUAUAAAAAUUUGGGUGUAAUCUAAAUUAAUUUAAAUAUUUUUAACAUAACUCAUGGGUUGGUUAAAUCAAACUAUAAAAAUUUGGUCCAACUCAAAUUAACUCAAAUAUUUUCAACACAACCCAAAGCAACUCAGUUGGAUUUUAUUAAAAUUAUAAUAAUUAUUAAUUGUUUUUAAACCAACCAUUUUGAGUUUGGUUUGGAUUUUAUUAUCAAAAUAUAUUUUUUAUUUUGAGAAAUUUAAUUUUAUCAAAAUUAUAAUAAUUAUUAAUUGUUAUUACUUAUUAAAUUGAUAAUAACAUAUAAAAAUUAUAAUUCAUAAAAAUUAUAAAUAACAAAUUUUACAAUAACUUAAUCCUUAAAUUAAAGAAUACUAGAAAAUUAAAAUAAAGUUUAAUCACAAAAAUCAUUAUUUAUCAAUAAAUAAGAAAAUUCUAAUAAAAAACUUCUACAAGCACGAUAUCGACAAGUAAAUUCAAAGAAAGAAAGAAAGAAAGAAAAGACUAGUACUACUAAGUAUUAACCCUAUUACAACACAAACUCUAACAAUGUCCAUACAAAUAAAAAAAAAUAAGACAUUCUAACUCAAGUGUCAAAGCAAUCCAUCAUAAUCAUUUCCAUCCGUAGUACUUUAAUCGAGAGAUUCCACGAUUAACUGACAAAAUGUAUGACAAUGAUAAUUUACAUUGAUUAUGACAUAAUAGAGAUGGAUUUGUCAAAGCCAAAUCAUUUGCUGGAAAGGAAUUUAGUUGAAGUAGGAACCAAAAUUCAACUUAGAUGGAUCUAUAAAAUUGGUCAUUCAAUACAUAAGUACUUUAUCAACAGAUUCAACACAUUAUAAAUUUAUGGAUUCAACUAAGUUACAACCAGCUGCAACUUAUUCCUCUCACAUAAACAAUAAUACAGCGGUAGGCUAUAUUAUUUACAAAAAGUACUUAUGUAUUGAAUGACCAAUUUUAUUACCUGCAAAAUUAAUUAAUCUUUCACUCUAUCAUCUAACUAAUGGAAGGCAAUCUUAUUUUAGGUUGUAAUGAUUAGAAACUAGCAGGAAGUGGGGGCGAUGCUCCAUAUUAAUUUGGAUAAAUCCCUUUCUAGUGAAGAAGUUAAAAUUAUAAAAUAGAGAUCAAGAUAGAAAUUUAAAGGCCCCGAUUGUUUUUUACAGACUUAAAAAUGAUAUUGAAAAAUUAAAAGCUAAUUUUAGUAUUUAAAAAUUACUUUAAGAAAAAUCACCCUAUCUUCCUGUAAAUUUUGAAAAGCAUGAAAAGAGCAGUUUUUCAAAAAUUGAUUUCGAAAAUUAGUUUCAUACUUAAUACAAUUCCAUAUAUCCUAACAUUUAUUAUAAAAAUUCAAAUUAUCCUUAUUAAAUUAGGAAAUAAAGUCAGUACAUUUAAAUAAGAGUGAUGAUAUAGACACAAACUCUUGUACCAACUGACGUAGCAUUAAUUUAUUAGUUGAAUGAAAAUAUAAAAUAAUAUAAAUAAAUCAUGUGGGCCAAGAAAUAUUUAAUUUAACCAAUUUUAUCAUGUCACAUUAUAAGCAACUUAUAAACUCAUUGGAUUCGACUCUUUACUAAAAUAAAAAUAAAUUAAUAUAUAUAUAUAUAUAUAUAUAUAUUUACAUACAUAAAAUGUGAUUAUAUACACAUAUUUAUAAUUGAAUAUGUACAUAAAUUCUGUAGAUUUAUGUCUAUCUAUACAUUUGCAUUCUUACCACAUUUUAAAAGUGUGAUUUACCAAAUACAUGGGACUUAUUUGAAAUUUAUAGCACUUUUAUAAAUAAAAUUUAUCAAACGUUAAACAGAUUCUCUAUUUUCGCGUAUAUAUCCUCAUGUAAAUUAUAAAAAUUCAAAAUUAUCUUUAUUCAAUUAGGAAAUUAAAUCAUUAUUUUUAAAGAGAUUCUUAUUAUUACUAAUUAGAUUCAAAUAACCAAAAAAAUACAAUCAAUAAAAUAAAAAUAUUUAUUUUAGUUAUCAUUUAUUAUAUACACAUAUUUAUAAAUGCAUGUGUAAAUAAAAUUUUAUAGAUUUAUGUCUAUUUAAGUUAUUUGCAUUCUUACAACAUUUAAAAAAUGAGAUUUACUAAACACAUGUGAUUGUUUUUAAAAAAGUUACAACACUUUUAAAAAUAAAAUUUAACAAAUGUUUAAUUGACUCUCUCCAAAGGUAAUUGUUUUUACAGUAUAGCUAAAGUAAUUUAUAAAUUUAUGAUAAGUAUUUGUGAAUAUUGGUCUAUGUAAAGAAGUAAAAACAACAUAUAUAUUAAGCAGCAUGAUAUUAAAACUCUUAGUAAAAUACAUAUACUAAUAAAAGAAAGACAACAAUGCAAUAAAUAAGCUUAUAAUAUAAAUUAUUAAAAUUGUAUAUUAAAAAAUUAUGCAUGAAAUUCUUUUUCUAUUUUGGUGAUAGAGAAUGCGAUAUAAUUGAAUUAUUUGAUUUAAUAAAAAAAAAAUAUGACUGUGAAGGAAAUUAACAAUUGAAUUGUGGAAUGUUAUUAAUUGUUAUUGUAUCAUUUUGCAACGUUCUAAUAAUAUGGACAAUGUUACAGUAUAUUGAUGGGCGGUAAUAUUUUCACCUCUUAAAUUGUGUAAAGUCAGCUCCAUUUAAAAAAAUUAUAUAUAAAAAGCCCAUUAGUUUUAAUAGUUUCAAAUUAAGAUUAAAUGCAAAUAAUUAACCAAUUAAAUCCUUAUUAAUAAGAUCAUUGAGCUUUAAUUAAACUAAUAAAAUGCAUUUGAUAAAUGAAAUUUACGAUAUUUAAUUACAUGAAAUUUAUUGACUACAUGAAUAAUAUAAUUGUUCAGCUGUUUAAACUUUUUCCCUAUUUAAAUUUUAAAAAACAAUGUGAAAUUUUGUAAAUAGUUCUUUGAAAUGGGGUGGAUUUACACCAUUUGUGCAGUGCAAAUAUCCUAAUUCUAACAUUUUUUUUAAAAAAAAAGACCAAAUCAUAACAUUUUUUGUAUACUAAGUUAAAGUAGUACUAACAUUAUAGCCCCCUAAUGAUUUCAAUUCAUUCAAUGAAUAUAUAAUUUAAGCAUGUUAUAAACUAAGUCUCUAAAUCGAAUUAAAAAAAGAAAAAAGAGCUUAAUUGCUGACAUAGUUGAAAAUAAAAUAAAAAAUUUUAUUAUUAGAUGAAAAAUUAUGAAACUUAAGGGGUAUAAGCGAGUCGGCAGCUGCUCACCAGGGCAUAUGUAAUAUUUGUUAAUACAUUUCAAAAUUUUAGGUUUUUUAAUAAUAUUUUCAAUACAUUUUCUAGAAGGUUUAGAAAAAAAAAAUGACUCAAUACUUUAAUCGAGCUAUGAAUAAACUCAUGUGUUAAAAAAUUUCAUAUUUACACCCAAUAAGAUUAAUUAAUGGGUGAUACAAAUUUAAGAUAGUUAAUAAUAAUAUAUAUCAUCUUAAGUUAACUUCAACUCAUUAACCUUGUAUAAGGUUUGAUGGGUCGUGCCGCAAAUUAUCACCUCUAAUCCUUUUUGCAACAGGCAUGAUGAAUGCUAACAAAAUGAAACUUCUAUAUAUUUAGUUGUUAUUCUUUUUAAUGAAAUAAUAAGGAGCUUUGCUGCAAAUUUCCAUCCAGCAUGGCAUGGACGCACGUGAAAUUUGCUAGUAUGGUCCUGGACAUGCGUGGCUGAGAUGCUUCUAAAGGCAAAGAAUUCCAAGUUCAUACCAAAUAUAACUUUCUGAUAUUUUUGUGGUAUCAAGUUUGUUUUUCACAAACUAAGGUGUCGGCGUAAAGUUGUUGUCCAUGCAAUGAAGUUUUAUACAUAAAUAUAUUAACCUAAAUUGUUACUAAAGUUCCAUAAUUAGCAGUUCCUGAGAGUUUUUACUAUAUAUUUUUUUGUUUUAAUUCAACAUAUGUUUAUUUAAUACGAUUUUAUUAAAUAAAUGUGCAUAUUUACCAUAUUUGUCUACGAUCAAUUAGUUGGAAAAAAAAAAGAAAAUUAAUAAAUUUAUUUAUUUGAUUGUUAAUGGUUUAGGCAUUUGAAUUCCCACAAAGUCAGGGUGUCAGCUCUGGACUUCUGGUGAUGUAUUUUUCUAAUAAAGAAAUAAAAUAUUGUUGUCAUUUUUUUAAUAUUCUAAUUUACCAAGCCUACCAACCAAUUAAUUUUUCUAAUUAGAUCAUUAAUUCAUUACACGUGCAUUCGCUGGCCCAGUGCUCCAAUCCCAUGCAUGCUGCACAACUCAAUGUGUUUUAAUAAGAAAAGGUUUGGUUAGCCUGUGCUGAUGCCAGAAGCCCCUUAAGGAGUUCAGGUAAACGUAAAUAUGUCCAGAUUUAGAUUUGAAUAUGUAAACGUAAAUAGGUCCAGAUUCAGAUUCGUUGCGCUAGAGAGGGGCACGCACGAUCGGGCUGCUGUCAGGUGGUACGUUGGCGUGGCAAUUCUCAACACGCGCUUCUCCUGGUGCAUACUUACGGCAAGUUGACACGUGACCCGUGUGGAUUGAGUGGACAGAGUCACGGGCACUGAUUUUUGUCAUCCAUAACGACUAACGUCGGAGACUUCGAGAAGAAAGAAAUUGUUGUCGUUUCUAAGGGGAAAAAAAUAUUUAAUUUGUUGAAGACAAAUUAACGUCGGAGAUUUUUUUUAUUUUUUAUUUUUAAUUUUGCAAUCUAAACCAGUCUAAUCAAAAUGUCAAUUUGACAAAAGUUGGACUGAUUUAGAUUAGUUCUAUUAGUUUGAUUGGAUUAAAUUGAAUUAGAUCUUGAACAUCCUAACACUUUUCAUGAAUGUUUUCCUUUUUUUUUGAAAAAAAUUAAUAAGGAGAAUUCCCAUGAAUGUUAAUUUUAUUGAUAAACUUGGCAAUUUUAAGAAAUGUUUUGACGCACGAAUAAUGCAAUUCAUCAACCCACAUAGAUAUGGAUAUAGGAAGCAGAGACCAGAUCGAUCUUGACAUAACGAAAACUUGUAUGUGUAUAUGUAUGUUACAGACCAGAUCGAUCUGUAGCAUAGACUUCUCCUAUAUGUAGGUUAUAUUCAAAUUACAAAAUGAACACAUGUUAAGGAUCUACAACUUCUUCUUUAAUCUAAUAAGCUCCCUCAACUUUAUUCCAAAACAAAAAAGAAUCAAAUUUUUGUUGGAAAUAUUUAUGAAUGAAGAAGCAAAAAGCGCUUGUAUCAAGGAUCUAAUUAAAGAACUGCCAGAGGCAUAGAUCUAUCAAAGCUCCCUCGCAUGACUCUUGGUCUCGGUGGCUUCUUCUUCUUCAUUCCGAAUUUUCCCUCCAUCUGAUCUCUUCCAACCUUUCCAUUUCCAAAUUGAAUUGAAACUUGCCUCAUAUUCGUUUGUUGAAUCCCAUCUUUUGUUGCACCACCAUGCAUCAAAAUCCUUGAAAUCCCAGCAUAAUGCAAGGACUCAGCUAUUUGCAAUGGGGUCACGUUCUUACUUGUCCUUGCCUCAACAUCAGCUCCCUUCUUCACAAGCAAUUCAGUCACAUCUGUGUGGCCAGAUUCCACCGCACAAUGCAAAGCUGUGUACCCAUCUUCAUCUUUAGCAUCAACAUCAAUCCCUUUAUCAAUCAGAAUCCUCACAACCUCAAUCUUUCCCUUAAACGAAGCCCUAUGCAAAGCAGUCCAUCCAUGUAGGUCUUUCCCAUUGAUCGCGGCGCCUGCUUCGAUCAACCUCUGCAUUGUCCUCACUUCCCCUUUCCUAGCGGCAAUACACAGGCUGUCACCAAGCUUCAACGCGUCAAAGAGACGGGAGUGACCGCACUCAGCAGCAACAUCAUAAGCGGUCUUUCCGCUCUUGUUUCUAAUAUAUUUAUUAGCACCCUUCUGCAAUAACAGCUUCACCAUUUGCUCAUAUCCCAAGCUUGCGGCGAUAUGCAAAGGCGUGUCACCGUCUCUAGCGUUGCGUAUAUCAGGCCUUGCUCCGUUUGCUAACAGAAGUCUCGCGCAAUCUCUUCUUCUGUCUUCAACCGCGAGAUGCAGAGCUGUGUUACCAUCUUUUGUUAAAGCAUUGACAUUAGCACCUUUGAUUAAGAGAAGCUUUAGUACUUCCAAAUGGCCGCCUCGUAAGGCCAAGUGUAUGGGCCCCCAUGUUGAUGUUCCUGAUCUUUCUGUGCUGGCUUUCCUCGCCAACAAGAGCUCAACAAUAAGUGCUUCCCCUGCAGCCGCCGCGGCUUCAAGUGGAGUACUGCAGCCACACCUGCCUUGAGACUCAACAUCCGGCCCAAACUCAAGCAAAAGUUGAACAAUAUCAGGCCUCCUUUGAGCUAUAGCAAUAUGAAGCAACGUUUGUCCCUGCGCAUCGGCAGAAUCAGCCGGGUUCCAAGCCGGGUCACUCCGCUCAAGAACCUCUCUUAAAUCAUCCAUUUCACCAUCCUUAACAAGCAGAACCAAAACAGGAGACCCAACGAACAUGAUCUUGAUUCCGCUGUCGAUGAACACUUGCUUCUUCCUCGUUGUGAACCAGUCACUGGGGACGGAAUCAAGCGUCGACGUUGCAUCUUUAAUUCCAGCUCCAGGAACAACAACGCUGUGCAAGAGGAAGGAAUCAUCACAGUGAGGGAAAGAAUCAGGAAGAACCGAUCCUGGAGGGAGAUGAUACGCAAUCUCUACGCUUAGUGUUGCGAGUGGUGAUAUGAUUCCUGAUUGCGGCUUCACAGUAUAACGAGCCUUGUUUGUAGGCUGAAUCCUGAAAGCAACAGGCAUCGUGUGCAUGACAUUGCGGAGAGUCAGCUCCCCGGAACAUUUCUGCCCUGGUUCAAUUCUGAUAGCUACAAGGUUCGACGGCUCCAAGCUUACAAGCCUAUCCAUUGAUUAAUUUUCUCUCCGUUUCCCAAGGACUGCUGAAAGGGGUUCUUUGAACUUUUUGAUUCAGGCUUAUUUUCUUCACUUUUGGUGGCAUGGGGAGGAAUUAGAGGAGUAACUGUAAGAGCUGCAAGUGUUGGUGUAAUCAACUGUAAUAUAAGGAGAAGAGAGGGCCGGCUCUAAUGGGAGACUGCCACGUGGUGGUGUUAAAAACAAUGAGACUUGUUCUGUUCGGCGUCCGGAGUGUAUAUACAGUUGUGUUAGUGGUGAAAGUUAAAGAAAUCCUGAAGUUAUUUUCGGAGUGGCUUCUGCAAAGUCACUUUCAGGAUUGUAUUGUAUCAUUAAAAAACAAAGCCAGUUUUUGUUGUUCUAGUAAAAGGCGAAUCAUUGGACAAACUCGUAAGAAUAUGUUGCCAAAUGUAUAAAAUAUGAAAUUCAAACAAUGAUUACAAUGUGAAAUUGGACAAUGGACAUGGCCUGUGUGAAUUGUUUUGUGGGCUUACUAAUUAAAUUAAUUCACUAAAAAUAAUGUCACUUUUGUGUCUGUGAAGAAGCCGAAAUGGCACAGUCAUUUACGUGGCCAACUACGGUGACUACUUCGUCAGUAGCUGCUCGAGCACUUGGUCAGCACAAGUUGCUUUCUUUCUUGGCGGGAUUAGUUUUUCUUCAUUGCUUUAAGUGGUGCAUUUCUGCAGUUUCAUUUUGCUUUGCUUAUGCCAUUGGAUUUGUGCCCCAUAAAUAAAUAUAUAAUUAAGCGGAAAAGUAUCAAAUUUUGAAAAAGCUUAGGUUUUGUGUGUGUGUGUGUGUGUGUGUGUGUGUGUGUUUUAAGCCGAAUUACUCGGCUAAAAAUUAAUCCGAUUAUUAUUGUUUUGGUGCUUAAGAUGUGACUCUAACCUAAAGCUCAUUUGAACUCUCUUGAUGCUCAUAUGGUAUUUUUUGUGUUGUGUCGUGCUGGCCCUUACACAUCUCGGCUCAUAUUUUUCAUGUUACUAAGUUCUAAUAUGUACAAAAGAAAUAGAGCAAUGUCCGGUGGUAGAUCCAAACACUCAAUUUGGGGUGCUUAUUUUUCAGUCUCAAAUUCGAUUAUUUUCUUUUAAAAUAUUAAAAUAAUAGUAAUAAAAUACUUAUUUUAAAUACUGAGCUCAUUACAACCACAUAUGUAAAAGUAUCAUUUAUAUUUUUUUUCUAAAUAAUCUUCACAAAAUAUUUUAAAAAAUAAAAUUAUGUGACUAUGGGGAUUUGAACCAAGUCUCUCAAACUACUAAAUAACACUUUUACCACUAAAUUACAAAUCUUUUAACAUAUUAAAAGUGCAUCCAAAUUAUUAUUAUUAUUUAAUUAUUUCAUAAGAGAUUUGGGGCACAUUUAAAAGAAAAAAAAUUAAUGGUGCAUAAAGGACUAAAGCCUCUCUUGAGUCCUUGACCUUAACUAGGUCCACCCAUGGUAAUGUCAGUGAUACCCAACUUGAAAAAUAUACAAGAAACUUGGAAAUUUAAAUUAAUGAAUAAAUAAAUAAAUAAAAGGAAACUUAGUGAUUGUAGCUGUUGUAUUGUAUUGUGGAUCAAAGAAUUACAAGUUCUUGGUUUCUCGGUAUUGGCUAAUUUUGAAGUUAAAUGAAGUUCGAAAAUAUUUACAAGCAAUAAAAUUAUCAACUGAAUGAGACAAGGAAAGAGUAUAAAGACCUUAGCAAAUUAGCAAUCCUUCUUUAAUUUAGUAACAGUGACGCUUAUAAAGUUAGAAGACGUAUCAAAUCUAAUUUAGAUUUUGCCCCAUAAAACUAACUUAACUUAUAGUGCGUCUUUGUUUAAUUAGUAAAUAUUCCACAAAAACUGAUCAGCACUUUAUAGGAAAUUCCAAACACGUUUAUAUUCACAAGGAAUAUGUCAAGGAGAAAUGAGAAUAAAAAAAUGUAAAAACUAAUAAAGCUUCAUUAAUUAGAAUUUAUAACCAUAUGUGCUCCUAUACUACUUUUAUUAUUAAGAAUUUGAAGUAGAAGGUAGUUGAUUAUCAUGAAAUUACAAAAUUGUAAACGGAUUUGUUCUUUUGGAAAAAGAAAAAAAAAAAAAAAGGAAGGAUAGUUGAUUACUUGAUUAGUGAGAAAUCAUACGUAUAAAGGACAAAUUGAAAAAUGGGACCUGAAUUGCAACAAAGCUUCAUUGGAAUUAACUGCCGAUAAAAUUAAAUUAGUAUCACCCUACCCUUUCAUCUUAAUAUAUUCGAAAUUUCACCGAUCAAAGUUUCUAGCUUCGAUUUUUACGAUCUCUCAUCCUAAUAACACCAAAAGCAUAUUCAUUCGUUUGUAAGAUUAUGUAACAAAAUAUAGUAAAUAGCCUAUAAUUUUUUUGUUUUACUACUAACCUGUUAUCAUUCUUUUCUAAUAAUACAUGUUAAAAUAUUCACAGAAAAAAUUUAUCCCUAUUACACCCAACCACCUUUUUUUGUGUUUUUUUUGUUCAAAUUUUAGCAUUAAAGGGACAAUAAUGUCCUAUGAAAUAUGCAGAAAGACAGUUAAUAAUAUUCAAAAAUGUAAGUGGAGGUAUCUUACGCCACACACACAAAUUACACGACUCUCAUUAAUGUGUUGUUGUUGUUAUGUGUGGCGUAAGUUACAGUUGAAUGUCAUAUUCAAAAAAGUAAGUGGAGGUAUCAAUCUCCCUAAAUAAAUAAUUUAUGGAAGGUUGUUAGCUGUUGUACUUUUAGUUAAUUUUAAAAUCACAAUAAUAUGGUUAAUGUUAAGUUACAUGCAUGUAACUUAGGAGGAUCCCAAUAAUAUACCAUAUUUUAUUAAUAUGUACAGUAUUUAUAAUAUUUAAAAAUUAAGGAAUUAAUGUACGCAUGUAAAAGCUGCAUUGGAGCCAGUUGGAAAUCUUACUGUCUUGAUAUAUGCAACGAUUGUAGCAGCUAAAAAGGCAUGAUAUUUACUUAAUAUUAUUUCAAACAAUAAUUAUUUAUUUAAAGCAAAUAAUAAUAAUGAGGGCAGAAGGACUAUUCUAGGAUCAAUAUGGUGACAGUAUAAAUAAAUAAUAUUAAUUAUUAAUGCAUUGAUGAGUAUUGUUAAAAUGACAUAAUAGGUUUGUUUCAUUGAAUUGAACCUUUUCUCUUAAAAUAGCUAUAAUUUGUUCUCUCUCUCUCUGUGUUUUUGUUUUUGUUUUUCACUUUAGUUUUACUUCUCUUAAAAAACCAAAAAAAAAAAAACAAAAUUAAUGGAAACUGAUGAUGGGAAGACGGACAAUUUUCUAUAUUGUUAAAUAGAAAUGGGCACAAAUGUGAGUUUUUUGGGGCAAAAAAAUAUAGUCAAUGUACGUAGCGUUUGUCUAUUUGAAAACCCGUCAAUAUAAAAACAGGACGUAAAGCUUUCAGACAAAGUACUCUUAUGGCCGUACUUUCCAUAAACCAAAUCAAAAGAAGGAAAAUAUUUGUGUCUGGCUUCGAUGCGACUGUUAACAUUCACAAAUAAACACCUUUGCAUGGUCAGAAAAAUUAACAAGAAAUUAGAAGGCGAUGUUGCGUUCUACUUAGUUCUCUAGGAUUUGUGUCAUUUGUUUAUGCUACGGUUCGUUCCCAUUUGCAUUGCGUGGAAUAAUUGGCCGAAUAUUAUUAAUCUCAAUCUUAAUCUCUCAACUCUUGUCCCUUUAAUUUUUGUUUGUAUCUUUUUCUUUUUUUUUUUAAAUAUCACAUACAAUGCUUUUAAUAAAUAACUUCAUAGAAAUAUUUAAUAAAAUCCAACAUAUAUAAGUUCAAGAAACUCAAAAAAUAAAAGAAAAUAAACUCACGUUGUCACUGGAGAGACUCAAACAUGCUACCUUAAAAUUAAGUAGAGGGUGCAACUACUUGCACUUUAAAAAAAGAAAAGAAAAAAAAAGGGGCUUUGAACGCUCGUGAUAAUUUGCAAGUUAUGGAGGAUAAUCAUUGUACAAUGGGGAGAACUCUUAUGGAACAAUAUUCAAACUGAUAUUGAAAGCAUAUAAGAAUUUGGCUUGGGUGUUUUGGUGCCAUGAAUGAGUGCAGAAACAAAGAGGAAGCUUUGUCCCUUUAAUUUGAUCUGCUGUAUUAUAAUUAUUGAGAUUAAUCAAAUAAAUAACCGAAACAUGGUUACAGUUUUAUAGUGUAUUGCAAGUCUUUGGAGAUACUAUGUACCUCAAAAAAAAAUAUCGUAUAAAAGAGUGUUUUGUUUCACAGGGGUUCAAUGAGAUUUGAGAUGGCUGUAAUGAAAGUGAUGUAAAUUUUUUGGACUCUAAUGAGGUGUUUUUAGAUGGAGGGGGAUUUACAAGUAUUUUAUAGGGGUGAUAAAUGACUGUAUACCCACCAAAAAGGCCCAUUGUUCGAGUCCAUGAGCAUUACAGUUUUUUUUUUUUUUUUUUUUGAAAUUCAGAACAUGCAGUUUGUUUGAUUCAACUUCCGAAUUACAAAAUUAGAAUAAGAAAAAAAAAUGUGGAUGUUUUUUCUUUAAUUUACAUAAUAAUACAUGGUGUGGACGAUGUCUAUUGAGGGAUAAAAGAGGAAUGGGGGCACUGUGAAGUUUGUGUUUUUGUUUUUUUUAAAUUAUCAUAUUCAUACUGUCUAUAAAAAUAUGCAAGUUAAAAAAUUACUCAUGAUAUUGUUGUUUUUGUUUCAUAUAAUACUACUUAUGCACAUCGCCUCAUGCAAACAUUUCUUAGUUAUGCUUAAAAAAAUGAGAUUCUCACCAUGGGUCACUGUAAAAAUCCACAGAAGCCGUGGAUCACAGUAGGAAGCCCACUUGAACAGAAGAAGCUACCGAAAGCUUCGACAUUGUAUUUAUGAAAUGCUUAGUAAAUUUUGUUUUAUUUUGAAUUUAUAUUAUAAAUGGUGUGUUGCUAAAUUAAAAAAUAAAAAAGAAAUGCAAUGUGUCAAAAUACAAGAAUCUUACGGACAUUUUUGUCACAAUAUAUGUAAAUAAUUCAUAUCUUAUUCAUAUCCUAUGUAAGCUUCACUUGUUUAACACAAUGGUGGUUGAAUCUUCAAAAAUUCAUAAUCUUAAACAACCAAAUUUGGAAUUAAUUAAGCAAAUUGCCUCUAUAAAUUGAUUACAACAACCAACGACGUGUGAAGCCACAUGUCAAUUUCCCUAGACAGCCCAAAUAUUGAGGCGCUGUGAGGGAGCAAGGUGCAAUCGGAUGGGGGAAAGAGAGAGAGCCAAUGGUGAGAAUGGAUCGUGGUGAGGGAGAACCAACUGGUGGUGAGAUUUGUGGCUUCAAUGAGGUGAGUUUCGUGGCGCUGUGAGUGAAGUGAGAUUUGGCAUGAGUGUGAGGGAGAAUGCGUGUGUUGUGUGAGUGAGGUAAGCUGUGUCUGUUGUGUGCAUGGAGACUCUCACCACAAUUAGAAUUUAUAGUUAGCACAGAACGAAACACAAUAUUCUACGCUAACUGUGGAGUUAACCAUGGUGAGAAUAUCAUUAUUGUUUAUUAUAACACUUUUUUUUUUAAUUUGUUUUGACAAUAAAAUAAAGAACCUUGUAAGAAAACCUCAAUAACUCAAUUAAAAAACCAACUCAACCGAUGAUAGGUAAAUUGAGAAAUUUUCAACUAAAAAUUAUUAAGAUUGGUUUUAACUUCAAAUCAUAGUCACAUAGUUUUGUCCUUAUAAAGAUCAAAAUAAUGAAUUCUAACUCCGAAGUUUUUAGAUUUAUGUGACGAACUGACGAUAGUAUAUUGAAAUCGAUUGAAAUGAAAAAUUUAAUUAAAUGCAAUUCAAGAUGUAGUAUCAAAUUCAAACGAUUCGGAUUGUUUUAAAAAUUUCAAUGCUUUAAUCUAAAUCGAUUAAUCAAUUACACUCUUGCAAUUAUAUACCGUUAAAACUAAAAUAUGUAAAAUUUAGGGUGCAUUUAUUACCAUUUUCAAUUUGUUGUUUUUCGUUUUAUGAAAAGGAAAAUACAGAAAACUUGUUUGGUGAGCUCAUAUUGGUGGAAAACUGUACAGUGAUUAAAAACAAAAAAAAAUUCAUUUUUCAAUGUUUACAAAGGAAACAAGAAAACGCUAUUACACUGGGUUCUCUAUUUUAUUUCACUUUUACUCUCUGCCAAGGCCCUACCAUCUUAACUUUUAUAACAUGGUGUAAUAAAUUACGUGGGCCCAUUUAAUAAAGAAAUAAUCUAAUAAAUAAAUUAUUAUAACAAAUAUUUAAAAAUAAUAGCAUUCCAUACCUUACAGCUUAAUUACUUAAUAUAUUACCCAAAUUAUUUUAAAUAAAAAGUGAUAUCAUAUAAUUAUUAUACUAAAUUAUUACAUUGUUCGACCAAUAUGCAGUUAUUUAAAAAUUACUACAAACUUUCUUACAUAUAUUAAUGAAAAUAUAUCAAUAAUAAAGUUACAUCUUGACAGUUAAUAUAAAUAAAUAUAUGAUAAUUAUGAAAUAAUUAAAGAUUUUCUCAAUUAAUAUUAUCUUAUAACUACAAUUUAUUUACAUAAUUAAAAGUUUUUAAGAAAUUAUUAAAAUAUCUUCAAACCUAUAUGCAUUUAUAAUAAUAUAUAAUACAUCAUAAUAUAAUAACUAAAUAGAUAAAUUAUUUAUUAAUAUAAAAUAUAUGUUUAUAUUCAUUAUAUAAUAUUAUUCUUUCAUAGUAGUUUCAUUAAAUAAUUCUCUACUCUCUCUCUUUUUAUCUUUAUUUUUUCGGACAGACAAGUAACCAAACACCGCUUCACCUUUUUUUUAUUUUCAAAUACUAUUCUUAAAAUAAACUACCAAACAUAUUUUUAUUUUUAACAAAAACUAAUCAUUUUUAUUUUAUAAAACAAAUUGAAAAGUACUAUUUAAAAUAUAAUACCAAACUUACCCUUAAUAAUUUUAUAUUUGUCAAAAAGAUGAGAAGCUAAGUGGCACUAUCGUUUACCUAUUCAAACUAAACGUGGAGUCACAAUAUUGAAGACACUUUGGUGGCCACAACACUCUUUUCUUUAGUACGGAACAAUCUGGCUUACAUGACACUACAUAAAAAUAAAUAAUAAAAAAUCACCGAUUCCAACUGCCCCGGACAAAAAACAGGCCACACGUAAAAAGGCUUCUAUUUUUAUUUUUAUUUCUCCCCAUUUUAAAGAUGACGUCAUGGUGAUUAUGAAACCAGAAAAUAACAAAUUUUAGUUGUCUGAUUUUGUAGUUAUCCAGCGAAAACUAAAAAAACAGUGAACGCAGCAGCAGAUCUCCGUGUUUGUCGUCGUUCGAUGAGAGAUUCCGAUUCGUGAGCAUCGCAAGUGUUGAAAUGGAAUCAGACGAAAUGAGGAGUUAGCCUCUUAUUAUAUAAUAAUAAUAAUGAUAAUAAUAAUAAUAACUAAUCUCUUUUAUCAUAUAAUUGAUAAUGGAAAUUCACAUUGACAAAAGGCAAAUUACACACUGACUGGGCAGAAUAAAAAACAGUCUCUCUCAAAAGCAAUAAUUUAAACACUAACACCACCUUAAGGAGACACCCCAAAAAUAAAGCAGCAAGCUCUUACUGUGACCACACACACACACACACACCAAACUUUUAUUAUAGAAUAAAUCUAAGAUGAUGGAUGAUGGAUGCGUCACAUAAAAGUUAAUUAAUUUAAUCGCUGUCACUGCUGCUGCUGCUCUCGUGUCCGUCCUCGUGCUUCUUCUUCUUCUCCUUCUUUUUCUUCUUCUCUUCACCGUGGGCGGCGCCCUCGCCGCCGCCGACACCGGGGAUCUUCUGCUUGAUCUUGUCCACCAAGCCCUCCUUGUGUUCGCCCUCCUUGUGUUCCCCGCCGUGAUGCUGCUGCUGAUGGUGAACAUCAGUAGUGCCGACACCGGGGAUCUGCUGCUUGAUCUUGUCCACCAAGCCCUCCUUGUGUUCGCCGCCGUGAUACUGCUGCUGAUGGUGGACAUCAGUAGUGUGGUGGUCCCCACUAUGGUGCUCUCCCUUGUGCUUGUCCUCCUCCUUUUGCCCUCCUCCCAUGUGAAGGGCUUCUCCGAUCUUGUGAAUAACUCCUGACAUUUUCCCUUAAAAUGACUCUGUUCCUCUUCUUUUCUUUUCAAUGAAAAAUAGUUGUUUGCGAUCUUCUUCUGGUUGUUGUUGUUCUUGUUGGGUGAUCUUGGCUUGGUAUUUAUAGGCUCCAAAAGGAGGGACUAGAAUUAGGAUUAGAUUAUAGAUUAUUUUAAUACAUUUUAUGGCAAAUUCUGAUUUGGAAAGAUAAGAUUAUCCUUUUGGUUUUCCUUAUUUACCCUUUUGCACCCAUUACGUGUACGCGUCUUCGUGGGCUUUUUGGGUAUUUCAAUUAUAUCGCCAAUGCUAAAUCGACACGUUGCAUAUCAGCCGCGGUACUGCCGUAUGUAGUUGUCCAGAAAUCGAGUCGAUUCUCGAUCGUACAAUAAUUAAAUAAUAUUUCAUACGAAAUGAGUUUAGAUAUAUUUUGAAAAUUUAUUUUUAAUUUAAUUAUACGUGUUAUAUAUUUGUUAAUCGAAUAGAGGUCCCACGUAACAGAGUGUUUCUCUAAUCUUUCAUUGCUUUUAAUUAAUUUUACCCAAAUAAAAAAAAAAAGGAAAAUUUAGAGAGAGAGAGAGAGAUAGCGAAUUAGAAGUUGAUUGUAAUAUCGACACCUGUCAGACAAUCAAAUAUCGUUAGUUAAAAAUCAGUUGUCCAUAGUCAUGGUCAUAGAUGGCGAAAUUGAUACUUAUUUUAAAAAACAAAACAAAACAAAACGAAACGAAACUAAACUAACAGAUGUUGAAAUGCAGUUCCGUGUUAACAGUCUGUGAUGAAUCUUUAUCUUUGAGUAUACCAUUCAAGAAAUUAUCAUUCAAAAAUUUAUUUAAAGCAGCAGCAAAUCACCUUCUAAUUCCUGAAUCAAAUUAAUUCGAUUUUUUUCGAGUCGAUCAAUUCAUUAGAGAAUUAACGGGCUAAGUUAAAGUUUUGUUAGUUAUUUUUUUUUAUAUUCCUUUAGAUGAUAUGAUUGUCAUUGUCUUUCUUUCUCUGGGCAACAAUAAAUACAAGAUGUGCAAAAGCGUAGUGGAACAUAAUUCGAUUAUGGGUAAAGGGAUCAGUCCGCAUAAUGAGGAUAAAGUUUUUCUCUUUAAAAAAAUUUAACCCAAAGAAAAGGUCGUAGUUUGUAAUAGCCGACACGCAGAUAGAUCACAAAGCAUGGCGGUCCUGAUGGCAAUAACUAACUGAUAUCUUCUGCGAUGAGAGGAGAUCACGUGGUUCUGACACGUAUCGCCCCAUCAACUGAUGUUGUGGCUGCAAUCGCGGCCCAGUCUUUAGAGAGAAGAAAGAUCUGUUAUAACGGGACCUACUUUAGCAUCUAUUUACGACAAAGCCCCUAUUUACUCUACUUAGUAGUAAUAAUAGCAAGUGUCGGGCUUGGAUUCCGUGUUGCUUUAAAUAAAUAUCCGCGUAAAAAGAAAAUGCUUCUUUAAUCCCUUCCUUGUAAUUUUUCGACACGUGGAUGGUUGAAAUUAGCGUGCCGACAUCUUAGGAAUUUUAUCUUGGAGACGGGAACACUGCAGUAGGCAAUGCCAUUUUCUUCGGAUGGUGUGUGGUGACAACGCCUUGGAUUUUGACGUGCAAAGAAUUUAAAUUGAAAAAGAAAAAAAGAAAUUACCAGAAUAAGCAUAGAAGAGAUAUUUUUCUUUUUGUCCUUUUUGGAAUGGAAAAAGAGAUCAAGAGAUUGUUCCAGUAAGUAUUACACAUGUCACAGGCUUAUUCAUGCCCCAUUAUGGCAACUUUUAUGCCUCGCGGUGCCCUCGGUUCCAGCAUAAUAGCUAAGACUUCAAUUUUUCUAACAUAUUUUUGUUACAAAUAUGAACGGAGUAAAUGUAUAACUUUAAUCCUUUGAAUAAAGAAAUGGCGGUUCUCCUGCUCGUUAAUCUCACUUGAAUCCCACCCAGGCAAAAUUUCUUUAUUUUAUUUAACAACAAUUUAAAGAAAGAAACUUUUGCCAGGUUGAAUUUCAAGUGAGAUUCAUUCGUGGGAGAAGUGCCAUUUCUUUAUUCAAAAGAUUAUGGUAAUUACAACUUUCAAUUUCGACAUAAAUUAAAAUUAUAGGCUAUACAAUAAAAUUGCCCUAAAUUAGUCCUAAUCAAUUCAGAUUAUAAAUUUAGGUAUAUUUAUUAUUUUAAUAUAUUAAUGUUCUAUAUAUAUAUAUAUAUAUAUAUAUAUAUGUGUGUGUGUGUGUGUAUNNNNNNNNNNNNNNNNNNNNNNNNNNNNNNNNNNNNNNNNNNNNNNNNNNNNNNNNNNNNNNNNNNNNNNNNNNNNNNNNNNNNNNNNNNNNNNNNNNNNNNNNNNNNACAGCAGAAAAUAUUUGCUAUGGAUAAGGAGACAUGGUCCCACGUCCCACCGUCCCAAUGCAUAUUUUGUAUGUUUCCAUCUUUUCUGAAAUUUUAAUAAAUAAAGUUUUUUGACCACUUGGCCAAAGAACCUUACCCUUACACAACUUUGUGGUUGGAGUCCUGUGAUACAUGUAAGAACUUAUUUUUUUUCUUAAUUAUAAUAUUUUAGAAUAUAAUUAAGUGAAGUAGGUUUUUUUUUUAAAUAUGAGUAAAAUAGAUAUUUUUUAAAUAUUAAAGAGAGUAAAAUUUGAAUAAUAAUAUAUUAAAAUUAAUACAAACUAAUUUUAAUAAUUAUUUAAUUAUAAAUAUCAAUUAUAACAUCAUAUAAUAUCAAUUAUAAUAUCGUACAUCUCAAUUAAUUCAAUAAUAAUAAUAAUAAAUGUUUUUUGGGAUAAGUAAACAGUCGCAUGGCGACAAUAGUGGAUCUGGAUUAGAGUGAAGUGGUCCCAAGAGGCUGAGGCUGUGGCUGUGGAGUUCUAAAAGUCAAAAGCUCCACGCACUUUGUUUCAGUACCAUACACACUGAAAAAAUUUGCAUUUGCAAUGACGAAAACUUUUCACGAAAUCAAAACACCUCUAAACUAUUUUGUUAUCGAUAUUUAAUGGAGGGGUUUCCUACCUUUUUAACACUCGAUUCACGCCUUGACGCAUCUCACAGAAAACCUCAUGAUCCCAUUAAUCUUGCGUAACAUAUCUCAAAGCCAAUGCAAGUGAUCUUGUUGCCUACUUCCCUUUGACGAUUCAAAAUUGUUGAAAAUAAUUCUUUUUUUUUUUAACCUCAAGGAAGUGACAAAAUAUAAAAGAAUAUUUUCUACACAUUAAACAUCUAGAUUUUUUUUUCUUUUCUUUUUAGAGUACUUGCACAAACCGUUUCCAAGAGAGACCUUUUUUUUUUUUUUUUUUUUCCGGGCUUGGUUACUAAUUUGGUGUGAAUACUCUAUGGUGAAAAAGGAAUCACAAAGCUGUAAUCAAUUUUUUUGCAUCAUUUAGUUGUAACUUGAACAUUGGGAGGUUUAUAAAGAAUUAAAUUAAUUAUAAUGCCUCUACUAGGAAAAGUUCAGAGUAGCCCUUCACAACUUUUUAAAGGCUUAAUAAUUUUCGCUUUCUUCCUCUCAUAACAUAACAAAAAAUUAAGAGCUUUACUCGUACACGUCCUAUGGCUAUAUAGUAUUGGGUUCUCUACUUCAAUCGGCUAUCUCAAACCGAAGGUUAUUUGGACACACCAGCAGUCACGUUUGGAAACUCUCAAAUGCUUGGAUUGUAAUUCUUGUGGAUGAGAUCAUCUAAAUCUUGGGCCCAAGCCGGACAAUGGGUGGACAAAGAACCCUAAAAUACAGUAAAGCUUCUAACACCCCACUAAAACUCUUAAGAAAUCCUACCUUUUAUUUUUAUAUCUCUUUCUUUUAGAAAUUAUAGAGAAGACAUAGCAUUUUAAUUAUUUUCCCUGCCAUUGAAAAUAAAUUCUGUAAACAUAUUUUUUCAUAAUAAAAUUAUUGUUAUUAGAUAAUUUAUUUCUUCAUUGUUUCAAAAUUAUUAUAAUUUUAUCAACAAAAUUAGUUAUGUCAUAUAUUAGGAUUAAAAUUAAUUAGGAUCCAUAACUUGUAAAGACAUUUUAGUUUAAUUGAAUUCAUAUUUGUCAUUUUAUGUAAUUUUCAAUAAAAAUACGACUAUGAGUGCAAAAGUGGGAUGACAUAAUAUUAAAAGAGUGUGAAAUAAUCGGUAAUUGAAAUGGAUUGAAAUCAUAAUAGAGUAUGAAAAUCAGAAUAAAUUGUUUACUUUAGUUGUAGAAAUCAAAAUUAAAAUAAACCAUAUUAUCAUUGAUGUAUAUAUGUUUUCUUGUAAUCGAAAUGAAUUCUUAUAAGUUACUAUAAGACCCUUAUGGUGUGUUUACUAAUCAGAAAUCAGAAUGGAGUGGAAUUUGAAUAUAGAAUGGUAGGGGUAUUCGCGGAUCGGAUUUUACGGAUUGGACAUUAAUUCAUAUCCGAUCCAUAAUUUUACGGAUUAUAAAUUCUCAACACAAUCCAAAUCCAAUCUAUAUGUUUGCAGAUCGGAUGCGGAUUUGACUCAAUUCAUAUCCAAUCCACUAUUUGACGGAUUGAUUUUGGAAUUAAAAAUUUUUAAUUUUGUCCAAUCUAUGAGGUAAUUAAAUUUAAAAAUCUAAUAUAAAAAUAAUUUAUUAAAUAAAAAAUUAACGUAAAAAUAAUUUUACUACCAAUUAAAUUCAAAAUUGAACAAGAUUUAAAUAAAUUAAUUAUUUAAAUAAAACUAGAAUAAUUUAUUUAAAAUUUUUAAAUAUAACAUAUCGAAAAAAAAUUCAUUUGUUUAGAUUAAUAUAUGAAAAUUAACUAAAAUUAUGAAUUUAAAUGUUGAAAUUUGAGAGCUUGGAUGUAACAGGAAGAAAUUAAGAAACUUGAAGAACUUGAAAAGAAAGUAACAAAUUAAGCUUAACUACCUCUAAUGGUGAAGUGAAACAGUGAUGGUUUGUGCGUGCAAUGGGGUACAAAUUUGGCAUUAUAUGCCAAAAUAUUUUGUUUGGCUUUAGAAUUUUUAAUGUUUAGGAAGCUAUAUUUGUUUAUUUAAUUACUCAAAUAUUUAAUUAUUUUUUAUUUUAUGUUAUUAUUGAAUAAGAUAUAAUAUUGUGUUAAUUUAGCUAUACUUUAAUUAAUUAAUUAAUUUAUUAGUAAGUAGCAUUGCUACAUUUAUAAGUUUUAUUUUUUAUUAAAUAAAUACUUUUUUUUUUCAGAUUCACGAAUUUUUACGGAUUUACAGAAAUAAAUCCAUAUCUAAUCCAUCGACUGUGGUUUUUUAAAUUUUCAUUCCAAUCCGAUCUACCAAUCCACAAAUUAUAUUUUUACGGAUCGGACGAAUUGAGCGGAUCAAAUUGGGUUCUGAACACCCCUAGAGAAUGAGAAUCAAAAUAAAUUAUUUACUUUAGUUGUGUGAAUCGGAAUUGGAAUAAAUUGUACUGUCAUUGAUGUGUUUACUUUAUCUUGGAAUCAGAAUGAAUAAUUUCAAAUUACUAAACUGACCUUAAUUUUUUAUUGUAAUAAUAAUAGUAGUAGUAGUAGUAAUAGUAGUAAUUUUCUAUUAUUAUUAUUAUUUUCUCUCUCUUUUGUUUUUAUUUUUUUAUUUUUCUCUUCUUCUUCUCUUCCUCUUUUUUUAUUUUUCUCUAAUUCAUCGAUACUUCUUCUUCUUCUUUUUUCUUUCGUUUUUAUUUUUAAUUUUUCCCUUCUUUAUCGUUCCUUCUUCUCCGUCCAUUCUCUAUCUUCAAACUCUUUUUACUUUUUCUCUUAUUCUUCAUUACUUCUUCUCCCUUUUUUUUUUUUUUCUCUUCUUUAUUAAUUCUUCUUCUUCUGCGUCUAUUCUUCAUCUUCAAAUUAUCAAGUGAAAAAUACCCACGGUGCCUUACAAGAAGAAUUGGUUUUGUUUGCUUCAAUUAUUUUUUGUAUUUUGUACUUUUGAUUGUUUCAAAAGAGGAUAAACUUGUAAUAAUGCAAUUUAAGUAGGGAUGUUUUAGACAAUUUUGGGUAUGAGAGUCUAAUUCCCAACCCCCCACUCCCUCGUAGCAGACUCCCAUUCUUCAUUCCUAACUUGGUGUUGGACCUACUAAAAUAAAUCCCAUUCCCCUUCUUAUUUCAAGAAGCAAACACGAUUUUGAUUUCAAUUCCCCAAUCCGAAAGUAAACGCACAAAAAUUGUACCCAUAUGAGAUUGCUUAUCCUCGAGUUUUUAGAUUGAAAAAAAAAAAGGAAAAAAGAAUGGCCCCAUUAGGAAGGGAUUUUAAGUGUUAGAUAAAGCCGGUGUUAACCAUUAGAAGGUCUCCGACCUUCAACUGUAAUAUAUUAAACCCAGAUAAAUUUACAUAUAAAUCACACAAACCAACAUGCCAAUCAAAUAAAUUACAUCAACUAACAACAAUUGACACAUUAAUUUUCAUAAUACAGAGGAUGCAGAAAAUUAAAAUGUUUUAUCUUUUCUCCUUAUUUGUGAAUUGGAAAAUGAAAAUGUUAAACAUACAGAAGAGUGAAACAGGAUGGAUAUAUAUACACACACACACACACACAGCUUUGGAGUUCAAUGUCAUCGUAUUGCUCCAAGAAGAUUGGCGCCAUCAAGCUUUGCACCUUCCAGAUGCUGUUUAAUCAUCACCAUAACACCUUCAGUAGACAUUAAUACAUAAUAGAAACACAAAAUUCACAUGAUCUGAAUGUCUGGUCUAUUUUACUUACCGUAUCUCGAAGAUUUACGUGCCGUAAAUAAGCUCUUUGAAGGUUGGCACCCUUUAAAUUGGCAUUACGUAGCUUUGCACCCUGCCGCAUAAAUGUUCGAAGUUUCAACAAAUUAAAGUCUCCUGAGAAAUACAUGUCACGAAAAAGUAGGGCUGAAACUUGCAUCUAAUGUACAAGAUUCAAUCAGGGGUGCUUGUCCCACAGUGAAAGUGUAUGGGGGAAAGUGCACUUUCACAAACCAAAGGGGCAAGAUGUGAUUAUCACACGAUUACAAAAGGACUGUAGUCAAGAGAGAGAACUGAACAUGCAGCUUGUAUUGAGGCCAUGAAAAUUGAUGAAAAGCAGUAACAAGCAACCAUUUUGAAAACACUUCAUAUGGUCGAAUCAAUAAAUCAAAGCUAAAAUGAUGUUGACGAUCGAUAGCUUUUAGGUGAUAAGAGUCUUGGCACUACAGUUAAAAUUAUUAUCUAGGAGUGCACACAUUAAUAAAAAAAAACACAACCAAUAAGCAUGCACUCUUAAUCAGCAUAUAAAUUAACAAGUUAGUUGCACCUUAUGUUGUUCCACAAACAGAUUGCUCGAACAAUUCACAAUCUUACCUU